AAUCCCUUCCCUUUCUUGGGAUUAUAUUCGCCGCGUGGUAGAGAGAUGUCGCCGACGCUAGGAAGUCAAUCGGAAUCCACCGCUACUCCUAUCUUCAAUCCGCUUGAUUCAUACGCCUCAAGUACUCUGCUCCAGUAGUAGCUAGUAAUAUAGAGGUAGUUCUAGGGUUUCGAUUCGAUGGAGCCGCGAGUGGGAAACAAGUUUCGGCUGGGACGGAAGAUCGGAAGUGGAUCAUUCGGAGAGAUCUAUCUUGGUAAUCCCCUUAACUAUACUUGCUUGUUUGAAUCGAAUUAUACUGAAGGAGUAUGGUGUUGUGUAGGUACUGAUAUACAGACUAAUGAAGAAGUUGCCAUUAAACUCGUAAGUAUUCGUUUCACUAAUGAAGUAGAGAGAACCUAGUUGUUUUGGGGGAAUGUGAAUCUGAGGUCUUUGCUUGCUUAUUGAUAAGUACUACUUACUUGCGGGCAUAUAUAUCGUGUCGAUUUAUAAAUAACUGAGCUUUGUGUCAAUUCUUAUUGUUAUUGUUUGGUUUUUCUUAGCUUGUAGCUUUUUCUUUUUACCAUGUUGUAAUAUCUGACAGUUCCAAGUUCUGAAUGGUGUUGAAAGUUCCAAGCUUUGAAUGUUAAACUACGAACAUUCAGUUUAUAGCAUGAUUGAAAACUAGCUAUUCAGUGUGAAAUAAAGCAGUAAUAUGAAUUACUAUAGAAACAUAGGAGGUAUAUACUGUACUUUAUAGGCUAAUACACUGCCUUUAGCUAUAAGGCUGUUACUUCUUUUUGUUAGAACUGAGAGCUGGUACUGUAUUAUUGAUUCUUGGGAAGAUAGUUUAUUUAAUUUUGUUUUCAUGCUUCUUUGUUGUUCUUAAUUUUCUACACAUAAUCAUAUAUCAGAGUUUGACUGCUGUGCUUGCUGUAUAUGUUCUGAUUGGCAUGCUUUUUUUCUUCUUUCAGGAAAAUGUGAAAACUAAGCAUCCUCAGUUACUGUAUGAAUCAAAAUUAUAUAAAGUAUUACAAGGAGGAAGUAAGGACCUUAGUUAUGUACUUGUUUUCAUUUUGCAGUAUGUGCUUUCUUCUUUCUAAUUCAAGUAAGGUUGCUUUCCUCUUUUUUAUUUCAGCCGGCGUUCCAAACAUUAAAUGGUAUGGUGUUGAAGGGGAAUAUAACGUCCUUGUGAUAGACUUGUUGGGGCCUAGCCUUGAAGAUCUAUUCAAUUUCUGUAGUAGGAAACUUUCACUAAAGACUGUACUGAUGCUUGCAGAUCAAAUGGUAGGAUCCCUUCUAUUGGCUGAAAAUAAUUUUCCUAUUUUGAACAAGGGUAUUGCCUAAAUACUUUGGACAUAUUUUUUACCCUUGUCAGAUCAAUCGCAUUGAAUUUGUUCAUCAGAGGUCAUUUCUACACCGGGACAUCAAGCCUGACAACUUUCUGAUGGGUCUUGGGAGGCGCGCAAAUCAGGUAGUUGUUGAAAAGGGUUGUUUUAGGCUUUGUUUACUCCUCCUCAAUUAUCUGUUAAACGAAACGCUGGCCGAGUACAGGUAUACAUCAUCGACUUUGGUCUGGCCAAGAAGUAUAGAGACUCAAAUCAUCAGCAUAUACCGUACAGGUUAGCCACAGCCCUGUGAUUUUCCUUGUUGAGCCUGUGCAUCUGAUACUUAUGUGCUCACAGUAUCGGACUAGAGUUGUUGGAUCAUAAGAAUAAUUGGUUGAGCUAGUGCUAGGGAUUGCUUUCGUUUUCUACUAGCCUGUGUUGUUUAACUUGAGGUUCUCAAUGUUAUAUGUCACUGCGAAAGGAUGGAGUCUUCUUGUCUGCUUACAAUAAGCUGCAGUGUGGUUAUUACAAUAUUUUCUACUGUCUGUACCUUACGUGUUUACUGUUAGUUUUUGCCUUAUCUAGAAAAUGGGGCGAAUUUUGCUUGUUUUUGAGUAUAAUCAUUGCUUUAUUCUUGUUUUAGUGUAUAUAAAUGAUUAGAGACAAAACAAGAGUUUUAUAGGUGUUAUUUCAUUUGGAAUAAGGUAUUGCUACCGUUUUAGUAGAUAUAUAGCCCUCUUACUGAGGAUAUUUAGUUUAUUUUUUUCCAGUUUUUGUGAAGCUGCAAUAGUAUGUAAGAAAAUUAUUUGAUGAAUUGCUAGGAUUAGUAACCCUUUCGAUGAUUGCAGUAUAUGAUAUAUUAGCUUAGCAAUUGUAAUCCUAAUAUCUUGUUUAUCACAGGGAAAACAAAAAUUUGACUGGAACUGCUAGAUACGCCAGCAUGAACACUCACCUUGGCAUUGGUAUACCAGUUCAUUUAGUUUCUCACUUUCUAAUUAUUUUAAAAACGUGAUUAUGAACAGCAAUGGUCGUUUGUAUUAUAGAACAAAGCCGUAGAGAUGAUUUGGAGUCACUUGGAUUUGUUCUCAUGUACUUCUUAAAAGGAAGGUGCGUACCUCUCUUACCUUCCAUGUUUAGAUGUUGCUAUUGGUUAUUAAUAAGGCGGCCUGCGGCUUACUUUGCCACUUGAAUGCAGUCUUCCUUGGCAAGGACUGAAAGCUGGGAAUAAGAAGCAAAAGUAUGAGAGAAUUAGUGAGAAGAAAGUAUCGACAUCUAUUGAGGUAUAAAUUAUUACCCGAGGCCUGUGUUGGUGAUACAUGUGGUCUAAUACUGAUAAUUAUUCUUUUUCUUGUUUUAGUCUCUAUGCCGAGGAUAUCCAUCUGAAUUUGCAUCUUACUUCCAUUAUUGCCGUUCCCUGAGAUUCGAUGACAAGCCAGACUAUGCCUACCUGAAACGGCUUUUCCGUGACCUGUUUAUCCGCGAAGGUCUGGUUCACUCGUCACUUUUGUUAAUUCUAGUCUGGUGAAUCAAAUAUAACUUGAAUCAGUAAAGUAAUAUGUUGGUUUAAAUUUGCGUUCUCUGCUCGUAUUUUAGGCUUUCAGUUUGAUUAUGUAUUUGAUUGGACUAUCUUGAAGUAUCAGCAAUCACAGCUUUCUACUCCUCCCCGUCCCAAUGUAAGAAUCAUGUUGUUUUUUUUUCCUUUUUCGGAUUUCAUCUGUCUACUUAAUUUCUGCUAAUGUACAUACCUUUGUUACAGGUCCCUGGAGUUGGGCAAAGCUCUGGCCUUCCCCCUGCUAUUACUAGUGCUGAGAGGCCAUCAGGUUGUUCCAUCUAUUUUGAUUUUUGAGUAGUUUCUUCUAUGUGUGGUUAAGCAUUUAAACUAUGAUCCUCGGUUCUACAGGAAUAUGAGUAUUAGAUAUGUUCUUUGAUUCCACUGCAGGUGGCGAGGAAGCUAGAACUUCUUCUGGCUGGCCAUCAGGAAACCCUAGGCGGAUUUCUGGACAAAUAUUUAAUUCAGGCAACUUAGCUAAACAAAAAGCACCAGUUUCAAAUGAUCCUGCAAUCUCUAAAGAUGUAAUGGUGAGUACAUAAAGUUGGUAUCCUUUUUCUAGCUCCUGUUUUGAAUAAGAUGAACAUAACGUUAUGUGAGCCAGUUUGUAUACACAAGGAUUUGGCCGCUGAAUUUGAUUUAUUUUACCCCCUACCAGUAUGUAGUAUCAUGUUUUGCAAACAUGAUCUAUAGGAUUCUUUGUUCUUUAUAUAAAAUAGUAACCGAGUUGUUUUGCUUGUGUCAGUUAUCUAGCUCUAGCUUUCUCCGCGCAACUGGGUCAUCAAGACGUGCUGCUGUCUCCGGUAGUCGCGAGGCUGCAGUUCCUGGAACUGAUUCUGAGCCAUCAAACCCUCAAAUCAUUGAAGCUGGAACAAGCUCCAACCCAAAGAUUCAUGGUGGUCGAAGCUCACCUAUAGUCUCAUCUGAGAACAAGAAGCUAUCAUCUCCAUCAAGGGGAAAUACUUCAGUUAUGAAGAACUAUGAGUCCAAUCUUAAAGGGAUCGAGGGUCUGCACUUUUAGCCGCUGGGUACCCACUGACCAGUGAAUGAUGUUUGUAAAUUUAAAGACAAAAGAAAACCUUUCUUAGGCCCUCCCCAGGUUUUAGAGGGAGGGAGACUUUGCUUGUGCUUGUAAGCACUCUCAAAUAACAAAAGAUAAAGUAAAGACUCUGAAGAAGUGAUUCCAGAGGAAUACAAACUCAGAAGUGAGUCAAGGAGUCAAUAGACUUGACAUUUUUAGUCCCCAUUUGAUUAUUUUUCUACUCUGUUGUGUAUGUCUCAGUUGGUACUGCAAAGUUAAUUUGGAGUCUCGAAGGGAUUUGAAGUGUAAGCGUUAAUUGUACUGUUUUGUUUAAAACUGGACAUGAGAGUUGCGUAUGUCAUGCCAAGUUGCACCCUCAGAGGACAUGAGUGUUACAUGUUGUGUCAUAUUUCAAUUCUUCAUAUCUAUGAAUGGAGUAUAUAGCGAAUGCAAUUAAAUUCAUCAUAACUUGUAUCAGCCAGCCUGAACCUCUUGUUGUUACCAGCGAUCAUAACAUUGAGUUUGCUAAAAGUGGAAUCUGAAAGAUACAAGAAGCAAGAGAAGAGACUGAGAAGAUUUUGUUGUAGGAUCAUGACAAGAGUUAAAAACCGAUAUAAAGAAAAGACAACAGUUUUAUUAUGUACUUAUCCUUUAGUUUACAAACAGAACAAUCAGAUACAACACUUGCUUGCUUGUGUCUACAGCUCUUAUUAUCAAGAUAAACUCCUAAAAUCACUCUUAAUACAAUCAGAUAUCGUACGUUGAUUACUACUCUUCCCUUUUGCUGAAUAUCUCUCUAUCAGAUCACCACAAACCGUUGACAGCAUUUGAACAAGUCUCCUUGAACCACUUGAAGUUCUUUCUAAUAGAUCCCUUCACUUUCCCUUCAAGACCAUACACGUUAUAAGCAGCCACUCUCUUCUUCCUCUGAAUCUCUGCCUCCUUUAACCCUUUCUUCACCUUACUAUUCGAUUUACUAUUGGGAUUGUCUCUCACCGUUGUUGGAUUCUUGUGUGGACUAUAACUUGACGUGCUAUAAGAUCUCAGCAUCACUGGAAGCUGUUGGUUUGCUGGGCUUGGUGCUGCCACUGCUUCUGGUGUUCCACCAUUCGUUAAGCAAUGGUACUUGUAGGCUAUACUGCUGCUUCUCAUCUCUUCUCUGCAUGACUUUGAUUUCAACAUCUUCACUUGCAACAACCUCAAGAAGCUGGGUCUGCUUUUAGGAAGAAAAAAAGGAGAAAUGCUUUCUUCUUUUUGUGUCUUGUAAUAACACUUUUGGCUUAUGUAAUAUAGGAUAUAUAUAGAAGGGAGAUCAGGUACAGUAUAUUCAAGAUGAAUUAUGCUUGUGUAUGUCUAGAGAUCAAUUUAAAAAUAUUAUUAGAGUUUAAUUAUUACUAAGUGUUACAAAAAAAGAAAGAAAAGAGAUUGAUUACUACUUAGUAGAGUACCUAGUACAGUGUUUGUGUGUUUAUUCUUCCUAAGAAAAUUCUGUAAGAUCUUCUCAUCUAAUGUUCACUGAAUAUACACAUGGCCGGUGCUUCUUCAUUCAUGAAUUCGAGAGAAUAUAUUGUUUUUUUACCCCUUUUUUUUUUACUUUAGCCGAAACACAUCCAAACUCGGAAACUCCACCAAAUUAAAUAAAACAUGAUUAAGAGAAAUAGAAACUUGUGAGUCGCGUUAACAAGAAAGUUUUAACAUAAUGCCCAAAAAAACAAAACAAAACAAAAAGUCAUGAGAUGAGUUCUCUUCUCAUUUUACCAAAAUAAACUCUAAAUAAGCUGGAAACAAAACAUAGUAAAACUGCGGUAAAAAGGGUGGUAAAAUUCAGCAGUUACUCGGUAAAAAAAAAGAAAGAAAGAAAUUACCAUGCCGCCACAACACGGAGGACUCAGAGAAGAUCAGCAACAUUGCUUGGCAACUCUUCAACGACCACAUUGUAAAACUUCUGAAUAUCAGACAACAUCCUCUCAUCGUCAGUUGUCAUGAAGUUGAUCGCCACUCCCUUCCUCCCAAACCUUCCACUUCUUCCAAUACGGUGAAGGUAGUUCUCAGGUUGUGUUGGGAGGUCAAAGUUAAUCACCAGAGACACUUGCUGAACAUCAAUACCACGUGCAAGGAGGUCAGUGGUUAUGAGAACACGGGAAGAACCAGACCUGAACUCACGCAUGAUAAUGUCUCUCGUGUUCUGGUCCAUGUCUCCGUGCGUGGCUGAAACCGUGUGGUCACGGCUCCUCAUUUUAUCAGUCAACCAAUCAACCUUACGCCUUGUGUUCACAAAGAUGACACUCUGCGUGAUGGCUAGCGUCUCGUAGAGAUCACAAAGCGUCUCCAGCUUCCACUCUUCCUUGUCAACGUUGACGUAAAACUGCUUGAUACCUUCAAGAGUCAGCUCGUCACGCUUCACAAGGAUCCUCACCGGUUUGUUCAUGAACUUCCUUGUGAUCUCGAGAGCUUCAGGCGGCAUCGUGGCGGAGAAGACACCGACCUGAACCUUAGAAGGAAGAAGCUGGAAGAUGUCGUAUAUCUGAUCCUUGAAACCACGAGAGAGCAUCUCAUCAGCCUCAUCAAGAACAAACAUCUUCAUGGCAUCAGCGCGGAGAGAUUGUCUACGCAACAUGUCAAAGACACGACCAGGUGUUCCAACAACAACGUGGACACCAGACUGGAGAAUGCGUUGAUCCUCACGCACACUUGUUCCACCAACGCAGGCGUGAACCUUGACACCGAGGUAGUCACCAAGAGCCCUCAUAACCUUUUCAAUCUGCUGAGCGAGCUCUCUGGUGGGAGCCAGAACAAGAGCUUGGCAUUGAACGAGAGUAUAAUCAAGCUGCUGAAGAACGCCAGAGCAGAAGGUAGCGGUCUUUCCGGUUCCAGACUGAGCUUGCUGGAUCACAUCAAGACCUUUGCAGAAGGGAAUAAUCCCUCUCUGCUGAAUAGCAGAUGGCUUCUCAAAACCUGGAAUCAAAUUACCACUUAGAUUACAGAAAUUUAUGACAAGCUAUACUACAGAAGCUCAAUGAGUUUGUGUAAGAGUGACUAGGCCUAGGAAUUUCGGUUUGGUUUUCUCAGUUUUUGGUUUUUCGGUCCUAGAGAUAUAGGAUCAGUUUGGGUACUUAUGAAAUUUUGUUUGGUUUCUGUUAUUUCAGUUUUUGGUAUGGAUAACAAUGUUCGGAACUGGCUAAUACCCGAUAACAUAUUGGGUCUAAUUCGGUUUACAAACAGUAUAUUUAGAAUAUUCGAUUCUUUCAAACAUAAUAAAAUUAAUAUUUUUAGGUAUACAAACUAUAUUUUAAAAUUUUGGGUACUCAUUUCAUUCUCGGUUCAGUUCCGGUUUGUUUUUUUUAGGCUCUAGACACAGGAUCCUUGGGGAUAUUUAUGAAAUUUGGUUUGUUUGUUUUUUCGGUUCAGCGCAGUUCAGUUCCGGGUAAAUGUGCUUAGGGCUAAGAGUGACAUUAAGCUUUGAAGUAACUAAAAGAAAGACAGAACCAAAACAUAUACAAUGAAGAAAUAAAAAUUUGUACUGUCUCACUAACCGUAGGCAUAGAUGCCUCUCAGGAGAUCAGACUUGAGUUCCAUUGCGUCAAAGCUAUCACAGACUUCAUCAUAAGUGGUGUAGAAAGUUUCCUCUCCUUCCUCGCCGAGUCUGCAAAAACAUCAUAGACCUUAGUCUUGGUUAGCUACUUAGGUUAUAGAGUGAUUCAAAUGGUAAGUGAGAACUUACAUGGCAUUCAUCUUAGAAUCAAACUGACGAGGAUCGUAUUGUGUUCCUUCUGACGCCAUUCCUGCCAUGACUGGAGAGAUAUACAUAAACACAAACCAAAACGACAUCGUAAGAAACAAAAAAAAAUAGAUUUCAAAAAUCACACAAAGAAAACAUUCAAAUGUCUGAGAUCCGACAACAACUGGAAGGGAAAGCAAGAAUCAAAUGAAACCAAAACAUAACAAGUUGUCCCAAUGUGCAUUGUACAAAACUAGAUCUCUAACGAAUCAGCAUUGCGUAGGAUGAAACAAACACGAAUCAAAACCAGUAUCAGAGAAUCCAAACACACACAAAGUACAGAGAGAGAGAGAGAGGUUAAAUCAAACCUGCUGUUAGCACAAAGUGAAGAAGAGAGAUCUCGAGAGAGAAGAAAUGGUCAAAUGAGAGACGGAAACUCCUCGGAUCUGCGCCGUGGAGUUGAAGAAGAAGAAAGUAACUGCUUCUGCUUUAUAUACCUUCCACCGUCUUCUUUUUUUAGGUUUGAAAACCAAAACAAAUUUUAACAUUUUAUUUUGUUUACUGACUUGUCCUCCAACUUUUCAUUUUUACACCUUUUUCACUCUUGUUCCUUUUUCAACAUUAGUCCUAAUUCUAUACACUGACUUGAUUAAUAAUUCUGACUUGAUUAAUAAUUCUAUGAAUUGAAUUUUUUUUGUCAGCAAUCUAUGAAUUGAAUUAGAUAGUCCAUUUGUAAAUAAUUUUUUUUGUAUGCACAGAUAAAAAUAUUUUAAGAAUCAUAAUAAUUGAUUAAUAUUUUAAUUCUUUCAUUUUUAAAGUUUAUUUCAUUUUAUAAAUUAUAUAUAUGGAAAUAAAUACUAUUUAAUAAAUAAUAUAAAUCUUAUCUUGUCUAUAAAUGUAUUUUAUGUAUAAAAUAUGAUAAUUAAUUAAUUAAAUAAUAUAUAUAUUAUGUUGCAUUUUUUCAUCCGAGUUAAACCAUAAUUAUUUUGGAUUUUAAAUAAAUAAAACAAAUUAAUCAUGUUAUUUACAUUUAGCUCAGUUUGUCUUAUAAUUAUAAAUAUUUUUGGGAAAUAUUUUUUAAUUUUUAUAUGUUAUUUUAUAACUAAAUUAAAUUAUUACAGUCAUAAUUUUAAUUUUAAUCUUGAAUUGGUUAUUUAUUUUAAAGUUAAAUAUAACAUAAAAUUAUGAACGGACCAGAUGAUCAUAGGAUGAAUAUAUAAUUUAUAUGAUCACUUAUAUUGUUUAACACAUUUUUUAAUAAUUAUUAUAUCAUUGAGAUGAUAUUUUUAAGUAUUAUAUAUAUAUAUAUUCAAUAACAGCUAAAAUCUUAUGGAUAUUUCCUUUUCAGAACAUAUAUAUAUAUAUAUAUAUAUGUAUAUGGAAAUCUACAUCAAAUUCUUAUGAAUAUUUUUUAUGUUCUUUGAAAAUAAAUUAUAAUAAAAACCAAAAAUUAUUAAGUAAAGGGAAAAUAUAAAAUUUUAGUAAUGGCAUUUUGUAAACUGCUAAUUUUGAAAUGACGGUGUUACUUUAGUCAUUUGUUAAGAGUAAAAUGACAUUUCAGAUAUUAUAUAUAGUAUAUAUUCCAUAUCUAUAUAUUUUUUUAUAUUAUAAAAUUUUCAAAUAAAAUUUAAAUUAUAAAAAUAAAAAUGUCGUAAUAUUUAGAAAAACUUAAGUAAACUUAGUAAUUUUAGUAAAAUUUAGUAAAAAUUACUCUGUAAUUAUUAGUAAUUUUUAGUAAAAUUUAGUAAAAAUUACUCCGUAAUUAUUCAUCCAACAGAUUUUAAUUACUAAUAAUAUAUUUGAAUCAAUUUAAUAAAAUAAUAUAAAAGUAUAACCUUUUCCAGUUAGUAUUUCUUUUUACUUUAAAACCAUGUGCUAAUCUGUUUGUAUUAAAGUAUGGUUGUAACUAAAUUAUCUAUUUUUAGAAUAGAAUGAUGUGGAAUGAUUAAUUCCAUUAAAUUCUAUUAAAAAUAUUAUUUAAUGUGAAUAGAAUGUAAUGAUCAUUCAUCAAUUAUACACAAAAAAAUACAAAAAAAACUCUUCAAUAUAAUUUUGUUAAGGAAUAAAGAAAUGAUACUAUUCUAUGGUGAACAAGACAUUCAUUAUUUACAAACACGUUAUAUUUCUUAUAAGAGAAAGCAAAUCUUGUAAUACUUGAAAGACCAUUCGGUUGCAUUACCUUUCUCUUUUUUUUCCCACUCUCUGAGUUUAUGUAGUGAGUAAAAUGUUUCAGGUUCUUUACUCUUAUGUGUUGCUUGAGUAUAUAUUUUGUAUAGUGUUAAAAAAAAAAUUAUAUUGGAUGAAGAAUCUACUUACCUUGACAAUGAAUGUUACAAAAUCAAAUAUGAAUAACGAAAGAUUGAGUAAUGAAGAUUGAGUAAUGAAGGCCAUAAAGUAGAAAACAAAUUUAUUAACAAUCCAAUCAUUUGGGUUCCAUCAUGAUAAUGUACAAGGUAAAAACUUUUACGAAAUAUAUGUAGAAUAUAAUGCACUAUGGGUAUAUAUAAGAAGUAAGCUACUAACUUGAUAUGUCAUAAUCAUGACACUUCGCAAUGAUAAAAUGUUUGUGUACUCUUUUAAAAAAAAAUUAAUGUCUUAAAUGACCUUGUUUUUUAUUUGAGCGGUUGAGCCUUACUGACCUUUUUUUAACAUUCAAAUCUUUUCUUGUAAUUGGAUAUACGACAUAGUAAUCACGCUUUCCGCUACUGAAAGGCAACUUUGAACCAAUAUAUUUUGCUUCAUUAUAUAAUUUACAAAUAAAAUUCAAAAAUUAUUAAGUAAAGGGAAAAUAUAAAACUUUAGUAAUGACAUUUUGUAAACUGCUAAUUUUGAAAUUACGGUGUUACUUUAGUCAUUUGUUAAGAGUAAAAUGACAUUUCGCAUAUUAUAUAUAGUAUAUAUUCCAUAGGUAUAUAUUUGUUUCUAUUAUAAAAUUUUCACAUAAAAUUUAAAUUAUAAAAAUAAAAAUGUAGUAAUAUUUAGAAAAUAUUAAGUAAAUUUAGUAAAAAUUACUCUGUAAUUGUUUAGUAAUUUUAGUAAAAUUUAGUAAAAAUUACUCUGUAAUUGUUCAUCCAACAGAUUUUAAUUACUAAUAAUAUAUUUUAAUCAAUUUAAUAAAAUAAGAUAAAAGUAUAACUUACUUCAGUUAGUAUUUCUUUUUACUUUAAAACCAUGUGGUAAUCUGUUUGUAUUAAAGUAUGGCUGUAACUAAAUUAUCUAUUUUAGAAUAAAAUGAUGUGGAAUGAUUAAUUCUACUAAAUUCUAUUAAAAAUAUUAUUUAACGUGAAUAGAAUGUAAUGAUCAUUUCAUCAAUUAUACACAAAAAAUCCAAAAAAAAACCUUCAAAAGAAUUUUGUUAAGGAAUAAAAGAAUUGAUACUAUUCUAUGGUGAACAAGACCUUCAUUAUUUACAAACAUGUUAUACAUAAUUGUCUAUUCUAUCAAUUCAAGGUGUAUAUAAAAGCAAAAUGUAUAUGACCAGUAUAUAUAGCAAGCUAAGAUAUAUUAUAUGUUGUACAAAAAAAGAACAUAUUAUAUCUUUAGAAUAAUUGAAGCUUCCAUACUAAUUCUGAAUUCAUCCUUUUCGUUUGUCGAUCUUUUCCGAAAGCUAAUUCUAUUGCAUUUCGAUCAACAUCGUCUUUCCAAACAAACUCUCUUUGGUGGAGAUCAAUUUGAUGAAAGUACAUCAUUCAUUCGUGGAUGGUACUUGAACCCAACCCCUAUAGCAAUAGAGACAAUUAAUAUGGAGAGAACUUUGGGGCACUACGUGUUCUAUUUCUUAUAAGAGAAAGCAAAUCAUGCAAAACUUGAAAACCAUUCGGUUGCAUUACCAUUUUUUAUCCCCACUCUCCGAGUUCAUGCAGUGAGUAAAAUGUUUUGGGUUCUUUACUCUUAUGUGUUGCUUGAGUAUAUUUUGUAUAGUGUUAAUAAAAAAAAAUUAUGUUGGAUGAAGAAUCUACUUACCUUGACAAUGAAUGUUACAAAAUAAAUUAUGAAUAACGAAAGAUUAAGUAAUGAAGACCAUAAAGUAGUAUUAACAAUCCAAUCAUUUGAGUUCCAUCAUGAUUAUGUACAAGGUAAACACUUUUAAGAAAUAUAUGUAGAAUAUAAUGCACUAUGGGUAUAUAUAAGAAGUAAGCUACUAACUUGAUAUGUCAUAAUCAUGACACUUCGCUAUGAUAAAAUGUUUGUGUACUCUUUAAAAAAAAUUAAUGUCUUAAAUGACCUUGUUUUUUUAUUUGAGCCUUACUGAUAUUUUAACAUUCAAAACUUUUCUUGUAAUUGGAUAUACGCCAUAGUAAUCACGCUUUCCACUACUGAAAGGCAGCCUUGAACCAAUAUAUUUUGCUUCACUAUAUAAUUUACAAAUAAAAUUUUAAAAAGAAAAAAAAGGUAAUAUUUAGUAAUCUUGAAUAAAAUUAGUAAUUAUUUAUCCGGCAGAUUUUAAUUACUAAUAAUAUAAUUUAACUAAUUUAAUAAAAUAUUUGACUGUGUAUAAUAAAGACUAAUUACCUACUUCAAUUAGUAUUUUUUUUACUUUGAAACAAUGUGCUAAUCCGCUUGUAUCAAAGUAUAUGUUAUAUUUUACAUGAAGUCAGGUUCAAGUCCAUGGAGCAUCAAUGAUACUAGAGUUUUUGUUCUGUUUUCGGUAACAGGAGAAUUAAUUAGUCACCUUCAGUACUUGCUAAAACUUGGAUUCCAAAAAUACCCGUUUGCGGAACAGUAUUACAGGAUCAAUUGUAUGGAAGACUAAAAUAAGGUCAUUGUAACCACAAAUUGCUGGUUUAUGUCGAAAACUCUACCAUGAAUUUAAGAAUUUAACGUACCAAAUAUUAUAUUAAUUAUAUAGAAUUAAUGAAUGAACCUUUGCUUUCUAAUUUGUAUGAUUGUAAUAGGUUUACAAUAUGAGUUGUAAAAGUUACCUUGUCCUCAAUCAAAACCAUCUUGAUAGAAAUAGCUCUUGUGAAUAUUUUUCUAAAUCUUCAAAAUAUCAUCUUAAUAGUGAAUUAGCAUGAACAAUAAGUGUAGUUUUCUACAAAGAAAAAGAUUUUUUAGUAAUAAACUAAAAUUUUAGAUAUUGAUAUAUUUGUGUUGACAAUUUGGAUAUGAAAAUUAGUUAUUUACUUAUAUAGAUAAAUAUGGGCAUUGAAAUGUAAUUAGGAUUACAAAUUUAAACUAAAAAGACAAAUGUAUACAGUUAAAAAUAAAUUUAUUUAGAAAUAAAAAAUUAUGUAAUUAGAAAAUUAAAAUAAAAUAAAAUAUUCGUCAAAGUAUUCCUAACUGAUGUUAGUAAAUUUGUAAACAAAAAUAAUUAUUUAAAUAUCCUAAAUCAAUAUGUUUCUAACAAACAUGUAUAAAUAUGCAAAUAAGAGAAAAAAGACAUAUGCUUUUGUUAACAUGGCCAUGUAAUAAAUAUGUAAAUAUUUAACUAACUUGAGAAAAUUCCCUUUUUAUUAAAUCACAUAUUUCAAAUAUAUGAGAUUAUUGUAUACUUUAAAAUUUAAGAUAUUGUCACUUUGAUAUAAAAUCAAUUGAUAAAAAUUAUGAAUAUAAUGUUUUUUGUGAAAUUAAUGUGAAUGUAACACUUAGAAAACUUAUUUUAUAUAAGAUUAUAUAUAUUUUACAUAAAAAUAUAUGGUUGAAUUUCUAAAAAUAGAAUUAUUAUUAAUUAUUCAGACUAUUUGAAAACAGUGCAAAAACUAUUAAAUGUGAAUUUUAAUAAAUAAUUUAAUACAACAAGAAACGCAUCAGACAUACAUCCUUGUUAAACUAUAAAAAUUUCAGUUGUAAAAUCGUAAAAAUUUUAAUACGUAAUAAAAAUAAUAAAUCAGAAACUUUUUUAUUACAAUUUUUGAAUAAUUUAUUAUCUCCCGAAAUAACAUUAUAAUACAAAAUAUUACUCAAAAACAGAGGCUCACCUCUUAAAUUAGAGCUUCUUUUUUCGUAUAUAAUAUCAACAACUAAACCCGAGACUCACACGUCCCUUGCUGUGUGUGUACUGCUGGCCAUCAGAAGAAAGUCUUCAAAAUCACGAGUUUUGUCACCUAAGGAGACUGAUAAGCUCAAAGAUAUGUCUCAUAGACUCAAGCCAGGACCACAACCUCGCCACGAGAACCUGCAAAAGAACAUAUAAAUAACACAAAGUUUAGAGACAAUAAAACUCCAUACAUUAUAUUAUUAUUUUAGCUUGUUUCCUAAUGAAUAAAAAGAUAAUGCGCAAGUCACGCUUUUUACAUUGUUCAUGUAUAUCUUUAGUUAACUCCAGCAGAAGAUCAGUUUCCUCUGCAAGCUUAGUCGUCUUCUCCAACUCUUCCACUGCUACUUUGGCAACGUGUAUUUUAUUCUCUGCCACUACAACUUUACAUGCAACGGUUAUUGCAGCUUCGUCGAUCAUCUCUUGUGAAACUGAAGGGGUCGGAUUGUUUGUUUGCCGGAGUUUUAUUUUGUCUCUUUUAGUUUUGGAGCAGGUGUUCUUGUUGUUGUUUCUGAUCUAUCUGGUAGUUUAUAGAAGUUCAGUAACUGUUGAGUGUUGGAUCAAACAAGACACGAAUUAAAAGACAAAAAAGAGAUAUGGAGGAGAUGGUUUUGUAUGUGAAUUUAAAAAGAAAAUGUGGCAGAGAAGAAAUAGAGGUGAGGGUUCAAAGACUUACAGGUUUUGAGUUGCUAACCUUUAAAAGUUUGCCUGAGCAGAAAGCCUCCUCAGUAGUCUUGAACUAAGGACCCUUCUGAAAUUUGGUGGCACUUCAUGCCUUGGCUGCUCUUUCCAUAGUAAACCACAAGGUCCAUUAGGAAAGGUUGUAGCCACUAGGACGAAUUUAAAAGAAUAUAUAACAGAGACUGGCCCCAACUAGAGUAAAAUCAAGAUUAAUAUAACAUUUCUUAGAUAGGCAUAGUGGACAGCUUUAAAAUGAAUAGCAAAGAGAAACUUGUCUAACCUCAAUGAAGCUGAAAAUGGAUCACCAACAUCAGAUCCAUUUGCAUCCGCUAAAGCCGAGAGAGCUUCAAAUAUCAUCCCAUCAUACCUGAAAAUUAGCAACUCAUCAGAAGUUUUACCAAUGCAUAUAUUAAUAGAUGCACAACACAAGAAACUGAAGAAAAAAAGAAAGACAAACCUGGGAGCGUUUUUUGUAUCCACCACAAAGAUAUCAACGCUAAAAUCAGAAGAUGCACUGCGUGGAAGGGAAGUAGCUGGUGAAGAAGAAGAAGAGUUAGUUAACAUUAGGAGGUGGAGUAGAGGUAGAAAUUAUCUGAUUAAUCUGAAAACUUAAGUUACAUGACAUAUUUAAAUGGUCUAUUCAAAAUGAUCUGUAACUGAAGCUAAAUCAAACCAAAAUGAAUCUAAAUUGAACCAAAAUGAAUCUAAAUUGUUUAUAGGAUAUUAGUCAGUUUUUAGCAUUGUUAUCCGAGUUUAACCGAAAAACAAAAUCGUCAAAUCAAAAUAAGAUCAAAUUUAUAAAUAUAUGAAAAAAUUCGUUAUAUGUAUCUCUAAUAUCUGAAAAGAUUUAGAAAAAUUGAACUGAUCCAAAUUGAAAUGUGAACAGAAAAUUGAAUGCUAGGGGCUAGCCACAGUCCACAUAAACAAAAUUGGGUUUAGUUGACUUCAAUGAAAAGCUACGGGGCCAAAUUCGAAAUUACAGCGAAUAUCAAACGAAUCUAGACAACAAGUGGGAACGAGUCUGGUCUUUCAGACAGAACUAACGAAGUAGUUUCCCUAAAAAAAAAAGAAGUUAAAAACCCUAAAGACAACAAUUUUAAUUCCAUUUCAUUUCUCAUUUGCGCAACGUCGGAGAGAGAGCAGCUGCAUCACACAUUUCUCGGUCGCCCCUCCUUCUCUCUCUCUCUCCUGCGACCAUCGAAACCCUAAUCUCUCUCUUUCUCUCUAACUCUCAUCCUCAUGGCGGCGAACAACAACAGAUCCGAUCAAGAAUCAGACGAAAACACGCGUCUCUACAACCCUUACCAAAACUUCGAGGUCCCAAUAAAAUCUCAGUACCUCUACAAGCUUCCCACCUCCCCCGAGUACCUCUUCACGGAGGAGUCCUUAAAGCAGCGCCGCUCCUGGGGCGAGAAUCUCACCUUCUACACCGGAACCGCUUACCUCGGCGGCUCCGUCUCCGGCGCCACCGUCGGGAUCUUCACCGGAGUCAAGAACUUCGAAUCCGGCGACACGACGAAGCUGAAGAUCAACAGGAUCUUGAACUCGUCUGGUCACACGGGUCGAACGUGGGGUAACAGGAUCGGGAUCAUCGGGUUGAUGUACGCAGGGAUCGAGAGCGGCGUCGUGGCUGCGAUGGAUAGGGAUGAUGUUUGGACGAGCGUGGUGGCGGGUCUUGGAACCGGAGCGGUUUUUAGGGCGGCGCGUGGGGUGAGAUCUGCGGCGGUGGCGGGAGCUCUCGGUGGGUUGGCGGCUGGGGCUGUGGUUGCAGGGAAGCAAGUUGUGAAGCGGUAUGUGCCCAUAUGAUGAAGAGUGUGUCUAAUUGGGAAGACUCUCUGUCUUCUCGUUUGUUUGAAAUUUUUGAUAGAUUUGAUUAGGUUUUUCGUUUGGAAUCAUAAAGAUGAAAACUUUUUUUCAUUUGGGUUCUUAAGGUGUUUGAGUCUGUAUGUCAUUUUGAUGAAUAAAUCUGCAAACUUUUUUAUUGUUUUAUAUACUGAUGAAAUGGUAUAUUCAUUUGCCAUGAGUUUAUCGCUUCUUGGUUGUAGUUUCUGAUAAAUUAGUGUUCUUCGCUACAGUUUAUGCUAUCGUUUGAUUGAUCUAUGUGUUGUAUCAGACUUGAAGUGGUGAACAUUUUUUUUUCUAGAAUUUCUUAUCACUUUGUUCUCCUGUUGUUCUCAGAGUUACGCCUUUUCUGAUCCUGGUCCUUGUUGUCCCCUAUUGUUCACUGUCUUUAUAAAUAUCGUCUAGUUAUGUUUAUCUGGUUCUUUUCACUAGAACCAGUCACAAAUUCUGUUUUUUUUUUGGUUCUAUAUUGUAUAGGUAUGUUCCUUUGGUUGUUUAUUGUGUAGUUAUGUUUUUCAAAUAUUAAUACACAAAUACAGUAUUGUGUCUUCUGUUCUUUAGCAUUCUCUCAGUCUCCCAGAUGAUGUGGGAUCAGUCACAAACACUGUUUUGUGUUUUACCUUGGCAGUUUUGUUGUAUUGUUAAUUCAUUUCUGACGACUAUUAUCUUAGUUGCUGGUGAUUUCUUACAUGAUAUGAAACAAGUUAUGUCCUCAAGUAAUCCUUCUUGUAUCCUCUAAAACGUCUUAAAAUUGUAGUGUUUGCAGUUGCAUAGAGUUUCUGCAAAACUAUCUUCCAUUAGUAAACAAGUAUUCUUUUAAAGAGGGUUUCACUUUACAUCACCAAAACUAUAAAGAUGUUUCAUAUACAAUAUACUAAGCUCCAACACGCUAAGGGAGACCACCCCACUGAACUUUGGAUGGAGCACAACUCAUUAAAGACCAACGGUUGCCUUUGUACUGCCUUCUCUGUGCUCUUGGUGGUCUACUUUUUGGUACAGAAUGACUACGCAUCUUCAAAUGAGCACGCUCUUCUUGAGUCUCAGGUACUCUCGAAGUUAGCUUCUUGUUAAUCUACGUCCAAAUUCCAUGUAUUUUAGUAUCAAUACUCAAAUAGGAUUCAUCCUCUUUCUACAUGACACAAACAUAGUUCAUGGUCUAUAUCCAUUUUUCUAAGAAACUAACCUGAGAGGAAGGAACCGGGGCAAGUGGAUCUGGUUCGUCACAUUGUGAUAUCUGAGAUGUUAUGUCCUGAAUAGGUUCAUGAUCUUCUCUUGCAAACUCUCUAAGCCUCUUCAGAGCCGGUAACAGUACUGAAGCAAGAUCUGGUCUAUCCUUUUUCCUCAUCUCACAGCACUGCAAAGCCAAUUUAGCCAACUCAAGAGUCUCUUCUUCAGGCCAAUCUGAUACUUUUGGAUCCAAAACUUCACUUAGCUUGUUAUUCUCAAUCGCCGUCUCUACUCUAUGACCUAACCCCAUUGCUGGCAUGGCUGUUAUGAUUUGAAGAAGCACCACACCAAAAGAGUACAAAUCAGAUUUAACUCCAAGCAUUCCUGUUUGCUGAUACUCAGGGUCUAUGUAACAAAAUGUACCUAAAAGGAAAACAAACAUUGGUCAGAACCGGAUCUGAGAAUUUAGGGGCCAUAAACAUUUCUUAAGAAUUUUUAUAAAAAAAAAUUCUUCAUAUUUUGGGAGCCUAUGCUUAGGUCAAAAACCUACAAAAAUUUUGGGGCCAAGACCAAGUUUCAUUGGGCUUAGCUCAAAUCCGGCCACUGUGGUUCCAUGUUAAGAUAUCUUAGAUGGUAGAUAAGAUUCUUACCGGCUGCAGCGGUUAUAUGAUAGUCACUGACGCUAUUUGCACCACAUGGAGGUACUAGGCGAGCUAGACCAACAUCACUUAUCUUGCUAGUGAAGUGUCUGUCAAGUAGAAUGUUUGCUGGCUUCAGAUCACGAUGAACUAAUGGUUCAGGUUUUGCACUGUGAAGGAAAAGAAGUCCUGUACCAAUCUCAGCAGCGAUUCUGAACCUUGCUCUCCAAGAAAGUGGAGGUGUAUUGUCUUUGCAGAAGAGACGAUCCUCAAGUGUUCCAUUUUCCAUGUACUCAUAAACAAGACAACCAUAGUCAGGACAUGCACCGAGGAGGAUCACCAUGUUAGGGUGUCUCAUGCUACUCAGAACCUCAACCUCUUGUUGGAACUGUUUCAGGCCUUGUGUGAUACCUGACUUCAUGAGUUUUAUGGCGACAAAAGUGUAGUCCAGGACAGCCUUGUAGACAGGUCCGUACCCUCCUUCUCCAAUCUUUAGAGCAUCUGAGAAACCAUUGGUUGCUUCUUCAACAUCUUUGGUACUGUAACGUCUGUAAGAGACAUUAUUGGUCAUCUUUUGCUUCCCCAACUUGGCUUGCAGCUCAAGUAAUCUUCUCUUUUGGCUCUCCAUUUUGACUAACUGCUUUGCCAUUUCAGCUGCUUGGAUGUCUGAAUGUCUUUCCUGCUUCUCCUCAGACAAUGCUCUAAGCAUCUCUAAUGCUUCCUCUGCUUCAAGAUGUUGAUUCUGAACAUAAACCAUGUUAAUAUACUAGUAAGAAACUGAAGGACAGAAUGUCUACUUGAAUGUAAUGAUACUGACCAUGGAUGUAGAAGAGAUGGAGAUUCCUUUGGUAGUGGAACUUUGAGAGAUGGUGUAAGAAGUCAUAGUUGAGACCACACCAUAACUGCUAUUCUCAGUGUCUGACUGAGAAAACUCACUCAGAGAUUGUGGUGGCGAGAUGCGAGGUGAAUAGGAUUGAGAGGAAUAUGAAUUGGAGUUGUUGUAUUGAGCAGAUAGAGAUGAUUGUCUGCCAAAUUAAAUAUAAAUCAAAAAGGACAUUAUUACUCUCUCUCUUUCUUUCGUUUAAUUGUUGUUUUAUAGUUUAAUUUUUUUUUUUCAGUUUAAGUGUCAUUUUAUGUUUUCAAUACAUUUAUUUGAUAGUUUUUCCAAUUUACGCAUAUUUUAUCGGUACUUAACAUAAUCAAAUAAAAUAAUAUAUUAAUUAUGGGUAAAACAAAAAAAUUAAUGAUUUUCUAUGAAAGAAAAAAGAACUAAAUAUAAAACGAAAAGGAGAGAGUAUUUACUAAAAUCUUGUUGAAACAAGAACCAUGGUUUGAUAAUGGUUGGAAGAAAGUUGAGAUGUUACCUCUCUGAAUCACAGGAGCUCGUUGAAUCAUAAUUAUACAACAAAGAAGAGAGAUCUUGUUGUCUAUGACGAUGUUUCUGAGCCUGGCUUGCGGAUUUGCUUUUUUUCAGCUUAGCUUUAGACACAACAAAGACUGCACAAGUCUCUGGAGCUGUUUUAAGUAACGUGCUGGGCACGUCUGGACUCUUAAACUUUCUGGUCACAGAGAUGGACCAAUAAUGUUAGUAUUCAUACAAACCAAAGUCUAGUAUGAGAAUCAAUAAGAAAAAAAGAAAUAUAUACUUGAAAAAGGAUUUGUGAGCAGAUGAGCCAACAACAAUGUUUGAAAUGGAAUAGUUGGUGAUGUAGUUGACAAUAGCAUUGGAGAUGUCACUAUCUCGAAGCACAACCUCCUUGGCUAUAAUCUGACAAGCCAUUGUAUGGUAAGUAAUGAACCAUAAAGUGAUUUUCUGCAAUAAGGAGAUUGAGAAAUGAUUACUAACUCCUUUUCGAGCGCAGAAUCCUCUGAAAGGAAGAAACAACUGCUGUUCCUCGUCUUGAUUGUCAUGUUGUAAACAUGGUCUUAUGUUUCCUUCUGCAAAUUAAAUCGAAACCUAAUUAGAGUUCUGUUGACAUUGUUGUUUUAAUAUGAUUAGAGGUAGAGAGCAAGCUAUGCCUUUAGGUUGAACGUGGAGAAGGACACAAUGAGGAGAAUCGACAAGAAUGUUCUCAAUAGCCCAUUUCAAGGCGUGUUGGCUGUUCUUGUCUUUAUCAAUGGCGAUGGCCGUGAUUAAGCCAUUGUCUAUUCUUCUUGCAGACAUGUUGUUGGACUUGCUUCCCAAGAAACGUGAAUAGCCUGUUUCUUCAUAAGCAAACCAUAACACUUGUUAAUAUAUCACUUACAUCUUUAACCAAAAACGAUUGUGUUUGUUUUCUUUCGUUUGGCUCUGCAGCCUCUGAGAAGUAACAAUGGACGAUAACAGAAACAAACUUUUGUAUUGUGAAUGAUGAAGCUUUGAGUGGUUUUGUAUUUUUAGCUAUUUUUGGAAGGUUUUUCUCAACGACUCUCAACAGUCUUCUGAACAAACAAACGAAAAUGGAGAAUUUUAUAUCACAAUUCUUAAAUUAUCUUUAGAAAGUGGGAGUUGCUGGUGCAUUCCAGCUUGUUACUAUAAUUAAGCAUCGGUUCGAAUCAAAAGGGAGUCCGAUUAUUCAUUAACUAAUGCAACAUACUAUUCUGUGCUUUAGUCUUAUACAAAAUAUAUGGUGAUAGAUGAUAUAUAUAUAUAUAUAUAUAUAUAUAUAUAUAUAUAUAGUUUUACAGUAAAAUUGUAUAUUAAAAGUGUGAUUAUGUUAUUAUUUACCAUUCAAAAUAUUUAACGAAUUUUAGUAUUUUCAUCGUUUGUAAAAAUUAAUUUGCUAUAUCUGUAUUUGCACGUGUUAUAAACUAAUACAUAAAAGAAACAACACAGUGUUGUUUUUCUCCUUUUGGACAGAUAUCUGAAGCCAUAUGUGAACCCAGACCCGGAAGUGAAGUUCAUGCCGAGGUCAAGAGAAUAGUAGUAAGUGAUGGUUUUUGGGACAUAAUGAGCAACCAAGAAGUCUGUGAAAUAGCUAGGAAACUCGUAGUGUAUAUUUUUAGAAGCUCGAGUUGCAAUUUAUCUAUAUAUUACGAAGUAAUGGUGUCAUCAAAGGUGGACGUGCCGGAGUGGUUAUCGGGCAUGACUAGAAAUCAUGUGGGCUUUGCCCGCGCAGGUUCGAAUCCUGCCGUUCACGUUUUUUUUUGGUUUUUUUUUUCCCUGUUUUCCAUCUUUAUUAUUAUUUUCAUAACUUAAUCAUUCUACUAUGGUCGGUCAAGGAAACUUUUAUAAUCCAAGGCCCAGGGUCAUUUUUAGGGUUAACAAAAAAUAAAUCGUAUUUGUGAAUUAGUUUCGGUCAUUUCCUACUGUUUAAGUAAACCUAAUAUAUUACUUAAACAGCAGUCUAGGGUUUUCGUCUCUUCUGGUCUUCUCCAUGAAAUCUGGUGAAGCAGCUCCUGCUGUCGUGGUUAAGAGAGAGCCUGAAGAUGGUGACUUGGAGACCAAAACAAAUCUGAAGAAGCAGAAGAAAGACGUAACGGAAGGAUUGUUUUUUUUUUGCAACUGGUUUUUCAUAUUAAAUGCGAAAAAAAAAUAAAACGUUACAAGUCAGUGACUUCAGUUUGUUAUCGCAGCCCAAUAAUACAUAAUCAUAAAGCCCAAAAUACUACCAAAUCAAGAAUCAUAACUUAGCCCAAAUGGGCCCAAACUGGAGCAUAGAAAGUAACAGGGAGGGGAAAGGUUUGUUUCUGCGAUUAAGCAAAAGCUGAUCACGUCAACCACCGCUGCAUCAUGAUCGAAGCUGACGAAGGAUUAGCACUGCGAUACGAUAGAAUCCUGUCCUUCACUUGCCUGUCUAUUUGUAACAGGGAAGAUAAAUCCAAUCUAGAAACCCACCGAGGGUUCGAAGGUUGGUGAAUCAAAGGCCAGGAGAAGAUCACUGAGGAAGAAGGAUCAUCUCUAGAACAAGGAUUUUAAUGGUGAUGAUGGAUUAUGAUGUUUGAUGAAUGAUGAUGACGAUAGAGAGAAGAAGACUAAAGAGGAAUUAGGUUUAAUGUUAUUGAUUGAUUCCCCCUAAGUGAGAAAGAUAUUACAUAUAGUGUUUAGUAAACCAAAGACCUAAACCAAAGAACUGAACCAAACAUAAGUUACUAAACCAAAUGGGAUAGCUUUAAGCUGUCACAAUACUCCCUUCUUCAGAACAUCCUUGUCCUCAAGGAUGAUAGCUUGAGUACUUGGUCUGGAGGAUGCUCCUUCCACUGGACAAGACAUCUGGUGACAGCUUGAAUUUCUUUUGCCGGUUUAAGUAACAUCACCAAACUCUCUAUACAAGACUCAUGAAACUUUGAGGUUAACUUCAAAUUGCCGCCACGAUUUUGAUAAGUUUCAGGCCAAUCCAAGAGAGCUGCCUUUGCUGAUAACCCGCCAGGAUCCCAUACAUAUUUAGCCUCAAAACCGUGUAUACACAUCCCGUCAAUGAGAUGCAUUGCCUCCCGUGAACAAACCAUUUUCUCAUAAGUAGUAUGGAAAUAUGCUCUUGGUCGUCUCCACUCAGCUGUGACAACAGCAGUAAAACCCCAACGAGAGUGGACUCCAUAAUUAACUUCAGCUUCAGAAGUUUCUCUUAGCUUCCAUUUAAUCUCAUUUUCCAAUAUAAUGCAAUCUUCCUUGGAAGGAACAAGGUCGAAACUCACCUCAGCCAUAAGCACUUUCACCCUUCUGAACUUUCCCAAAGUUUCAUCAUCUAGUAGCUUCUCGUUUGGAUCAGGUGGUUUAUGAAUCUUAGCGCCAAAUUCAAAUGCACUAACUAGUAAUCUCGGCACGUCUUGAAACUCUGAAAGCAGUUCCUUAGUUUGAAUAUGAAGUUGUCUCGUCAGUCUCAAAUCUGAUGUUGCUGCAGAAACCCUCAAGCUCUUACAUUUCUCUGGCCAGUACCACUGAGCUGCUUCAGUUGGUAACCCACCUGGCUCCCAUAUGCGUUCAACCUGAGAGAGACAAACGCAGUGUUUCUCUUCAUUACCCGAGAUACAUAAAGCCCAAUAAUACAUAAUCAUAAAGCCCAAAAUACUACCAAAUCAAGAAUCAUAACUUAGCCCAAAUGGGCCCAAACUGGAGCAUAGAAAGUAACAGGGAGGGGAAAGGUUUGUUUCUGCGAUUAAGCAAAAGCUGAUCACGUCAACCACCGCUGCAUCAUGAUCGAAGCUGACGAAGGAUUAGCACUGCGAUACGAUAGAAUCCUGUCCUUCACUUGCCUGUCUAUUUGUAACAGGGAAGAUAAAUCCAAUCUAGAAACCCACCGAGGGUUCGAAGGUUGGUGAAUCAAAGGCCAGGAGAAGAUCACUGAGGAAGAAGGAUCAUCUCUAGAACAAGGAUUUUAAUGGUGAUGAUGGAUUAUGAUGUUUGAUGAAUGAUGAUGACGAUAGAGAGAAGAAGACUAAAGAGGAAUUAGGUUUAAUGUUAUUGAUUGAUUCCCCCUAAGUGAGAAAGAUAUUACAUAUAGUGUUUAGUAAACCAAAGACCUAAACCAAAGAACUGAACCAAACAUAAGUUACUAAACCAAAUGGGAUAGCUUUAAGCUGUCACACUAUUUGUCUGAUUAGGGUUGAUGCCGGCUUGAAUGUAUUCCGAUGAAUCCUAGAGUUACGGAAGGAUUGUUUGAUCAUCUAAAGCGGAUGGAAUCAAAAUUUGAUUUGUUGGUGACAAAGUUGGAUCUAUUGAUCUCAGUGGAAGGUAAGGGAGUUCAUGCCAAGAAGUUUUUAAAGGCCAAGGCUGAGAUCAGUUCAUCCGAGGAUGAAUCAUCUUCUUCUGAUGAUGAGGAUUCUGUGGAGAAACCUGUUGCUAAAGUUUCUUCUUCCUCCGAAUCAGAAAAUGAUUCAGAAGAUGAGAAGGAAACUCUGGCUACUAGUUCAGAUUCAUCAGAUGAUGAGGAAAGUGACCAAGGUGAAAAACCUGAGCAGAAAAUGGAGGGCAUUAGUGUUGAUUCUACUGAGAAAUCUGAUGAAAAGGAGCGUGAAGAUCGUUUCGGUUUUGCCCCUGGUCGUUUUAGGGGUGGUCCUUUAGGAUUCCGUGGUCGCGGUAGAGGUCGUUGGCCUUUUGGAGGUCCUUUUGUAGGUGGUCGUUGUGGUGGUCUUGGGCACUGUAGCGGCUGUUAAGGUUUUGUUGUGCGAGUAAUAAACCUCUUCUCUAGCUAUUUGUUUUUUUAACUUGUGAUUCAAAUUCAAUGCACCUUUUUUAUUACUUCGGUUCCUCUAUUUAAGCAAGUAUCAUACGGACAUGAACAUGCCCUAGAGACAAGAAUUGUUCCGGAAGAAACACACUUCAAAUCAAAGCAUAUUUUAAUCAACACCUAGAUUCAUUGUUCUUGAGAUACUCCUUAGAAGAACAUCCAUAACCGGACCAAACUCUGAAUUAACCUUAACCGGUGGGUUCGGCAACUUACAAUUACAAGCCAUCUCUUGUAUGUUCGUGGAAUGAUAAUACUCUGCUUAAACUUCAACCCAAGAAGAUGUCAAAUUAUAUAUCGCAACUUGCGACGGCUGGCUUGCACUGUCCAUAAAAAGUUGAACCGGCCAACCCGCGGAACUCCAUUCAUGAUGAUUAAAAUAUGUAUAUAGUUUUUAUGCUAUAAAUGUCAUUUUAGAAUGAAUGUGAUUUAUGAAAACAUAAGUCAUGAAGUUUUUCUUCUGUAAUGAUAUGCACUAGAUUGAAAAACAUUCAUUUUCCAAAAAAAAAGAACGAGAAACUAGAGAGAGAAUAAAAGAAUUAUAGAAGAACGAGAGACUAUAGCAGAUAUACUUUACAAUGUUCUUAUCAUUUGAAUUAUUUACAUAUAAUAUAUUUGUUUUCAAUUAUCAAUCGACACUGGUGUCAAAAAAUUAAGAAUAUUGAGAAUAACAAACAUAUAAUGAACUGAGAUACAAAAGUUAAAGAUAAUUCAUAAGCUUACUACAUGAGAUGAUUACAAAGAAAGUGAAGGUUACAAUAUUGAUAUAGAUUCAUUUUUUUUGUGUUAAAGUUAAAGUCAUAGCAAGAAAUACUAUAUGUUAUAAAGUAAAGGUUAGACAAAAUUUAAUAUGUCAAUCUAAAUUAAGCUGCAAAAAUUUUGUUUAAAAAUUGUAUAUUUGUUUGCAUAAAAUAAAUUAUAAAUAUAAAAUAAAAUGAAACAUAAGCAAUAUACUAAUAAAAUAUAAAAGAAACAAUGUCUUGAAUGGUUUCAAAUCGAAAACAGAGUUAAAGCUAACCAUUUGAUUGCUUGAGAUAAUGUUUUGAUAUAAGCAAAGUCGAGAAGAAAGGUGUGGUGAGUUUUCUAAAUUAUAGAAGCCGUAUAUUUAUACUAAAAAGGAAUCACCGUGUGGUCGUAUGGAUUCAAAAUAAUGGUCGUAACUAAAUCGAAUAUUACACAUAACUUGCGCUCCAAUCUUGGUCGAGAAUUACUUUAAUAUUGUAAAUAGUUAAUGCAAACUUCCUUUUAUCAAUCGCAAUUGAACAAAUUCAAGAAAGUUUACAAUUAUUAAUUGAUUACAAUAAUUUGAACCUUAAUUUACGUUUCUUAUACAUAAUAGUCAAGUCCUCGCAAAUCACAUAUUAUUAUCAUCAAUUUCCCAAAUUUGUAAUUUAAAAAUAUAUUAAAGUUAUUGGAAGUUUCCAUUUUCCCAAUCAUCAAUCAAUUUUGUCCUUGCAAAUCACGUUUGAAUCAUGGGCAAUUUGCUCUGCCAUUAUUUGCAUUAUGCAAACUGGCGUUAAAAUCUUAAUUACGAUAGAUCACCUAAGGUAAGCUUUUAUAAUUGUUUGCCAGAAAAUCGUAUUGUACCUUAGUUUCUACAAUCGCAUGACGGGGAUCAUCUAACAAUUUAAUGAAACGGGGCAAGUAUAUGCCAUAUGCAUGGUUCUUCCGUUUCACUAUUUUAAGAAAACAAAGUUUUCCUCUUGAUAUAUUUUUAAGAGGACAAAUUUUUUUUUCGCAUUUUUAAGAAAAUCAAUCACUUGAACACGUAUUGAUCAUCAAAUGCUUUUUAGGAUUUUUCAGAAAACAAACUUUGAUUGAUAAUCGCACAUUAAUUUUUUCGCAUCUAUAUUCGUUUUGAAUAAAAAUUUAGACCACUACAUAUGUCAAUAAUGUUUUUGUAUUGAAACAAAUUAAUGAAAAAACUCAGUCAAGGUAAUUAACAUAAUUUUAAACUCUUUGAUGUAAUACGUAGAACUUCAGUUAAGGUAACUAACGCAGGAAAUAAAUGAUAAGGUUUGAUGUAAUAUGUAUCAACGUAUAUAUGUGAAAAAUGUAGAAAAAACUAAGGUAAUUAUAAUGUUUUGAUCAAUGACAUGUUGUGUAAUUACUCUAGUUAACAAAGGGUUUUAAAUAGAAUAGGUGAGAGAGCUUGUGGAGUUGCCACAUAAGAAAUGACACACUUGUAAUAAACACAUGAACUAAAGGUUAUUUAUUUUUAAUGUUCCUCAAAUAAUAAAAAAAGGAUUAUAAAGUUACUAAAAGAAACAUAAACCUAAUUUAUGCUGUGCAGAUAUGAUAUACGGUUUUCUUUAAAUAUCUUGUUUAUUCUUGUUUUUAUUCAUUUGUAUUUUAAAUGGUUCAAUUUUUUUUCUUAAAGAUCUCUAUAAUAUUAUUUGAGAAGUCAGUUUCCUAUGUGUCGCUCUCACGUUAACUCUCACGAUGGUUGAUUACACUGAUACCCUUAAUGAAUUAACUUAAAUUUAAAAUACUAUUAUUUAUUAUUUUAUUUAGUUUUCUUUUAAAAAAAUUCUCAAAAAUAUACACAUAUAAUAAAAAGGAAAUUUUUUAUAAAGUUAAAAAAAAAUAAUUGAAAAACGAAAAUAUAUGUAUAUAUAAUAUGAUUUCAUAAAAAAGGAAAGUUCACAAAAUAGUAAUAUUACAUUUAAAAAAUAUUUUUAAAUAACAUAAAAUAUAAUGUUGAACUAAUAAAAUACUUUCUUUAUAUCUAUAUUUUCUUAGAUCAAAAUAUAAAUUUCUAUAUAAUGUAAGAGUUUCAAAAAUUUCUAUAUAAUGUAUUUUCUUAGAUCAAAAUACUACUUAUUUUUAAGAGUUUUAUAAAUUUAGUUGACUAUAAUAUCUUUCAAUUACAGCAAAAAAAUAUUGAUAAAUUAUAUUUUACUUAUAUAAUAUUAUUUUUAAAUACAAUCACAAUUUUUUACUGUUUAUUUUUAAGAGUUUCAUAAUUUAGUUGACUGUAAUAUCUUUCAAUUACAGCAUACAAAUAUCGACAAAUUAUAUUUUUUACUGCUUAUUUUUAAGAGAUAUAAAAAAAAAAACUAAAUUUUUUUAAAAAAAAUAAACAUCCUUAGAUCAAAUAGUUACAAAAUAGUUUAAUGAGACAGAUAUAUUAUAUUUUAUCAUUAUUAAAGUUAUUUUUUCUUAAUAUUAAAUAUUCUUUUAAAUUUUAUGUUUGUGGAACUUAAUAGAACAAUAAUCAAAAUACCAAAACAAAUCUGAAUUCUCAUUUUUAAGAUUAUUUAAAAUAAAUUUUAGUUUCCAUUCAAUAAAUCAAAGGCAUAAAGUUAUUUAGAAUUUUUAAAAUAUUUUAAUUAUUGUAAAUAUUGAUAUGUGUUUAUGAGCUUUCAAAAAUGUAUGAGCUACUUACGCAUGCCUAUUGAUCAUCGUUUUAUUAUCUAAUAUUUUUUUUACAAAUAUCAACAUAUAAUUUGAUAAAUAUUAUGAAAAUACAUGCACAUUAAAAUGAUAAAUAAAAUUGAUUUUAUUUGACUUAAAGAAAUGAUAUAUGAGUGAACUUUAGUUGAAUUCAUAUAUGCAAUCUAAUUUACCCAAAAAUCGACUGAAAAACAACAAAACUGAUUAGAUAUAACAUAUAUAAAAUUAUAUGUAUAAUUAAAAUAAUAUAGUAGUAUUAAUAUAAAUGAUGCAUAUAAAUUAUAAAUUAAUUUAAAAUUAAAAGUAAGUAGCAAUCAAUUAUUAUAAUUUAUUUACUUUAGAAAUAUUUAUAUAUGUGCAAGAACACGGGAAAAUCACCUAGUAAUAAAGUAUUUAUAAAACAUAUUUGUUUCAAGUAAUUCAUAGUUGUUAUCUAUACUAUACUAAAAGUGAGAUAUACUCAUCAUAUAACCUAUCCACGUCAUCUUUAAAUUCAGCCAAUGAGGGGGUUCUCUUUCGACAUUUCGCCAUUGAUUCUAACUUAAAGAGUAGAACUGGCCCUUUCGUUUAGGCUUUAAAAAUUUUCUAUGGCCCAGUUUAAACAUAAUACACGUAUUGCAGUCUGGUGUCUCUUCCACUUCCUCUCCACCAAUCCUUUCCUCUGUAAUUACUGUUACCUCUAUCCUUACUUCAACAAUCAAUGACCCACCUCUAUUAUUUUCGAUCCGUGUUUUGGGUUUCUCCGGCCCGCUACCGUCCUCUUAUGUGUCGCCUUUAGUUGAUUAGGGUUACCGUCUCCUUCGAGAUCCUUCGUUUGAGGGCGCUUCCUCUUCCACUAGAGUUCAGUUUUCUUAUGAACUCCAAUAAUAUAUUGUCUCGAAAAAAUAGGAGUCGAUCGAGUAUCUUCCCUGCAAAGGAGUGUCAACAAGUGAUGGAUGAGCAAGGUUCUUCUGGAGGUAAUCAUGAGAUAUGUUUCCUCUUUGUCGAUUUAAUGAGUUCAUGUUUCUGUUACGUAAAAUAAGAUUCGUGCUGAUAUACACAUGAGUGCUUGAAUUUAGUUACUUGAUCUCUGGAUUUUGACGGAUUCACUCUAGAUUUGUCAAUUGGGAUUUAUUUUCUGAAUGAUGUUUGUUAAUCAAAAGGCUGAGUUGAUUUUCACUAUUGUUUGAUUUUUUUUUUUAAAUGUCUUUGAUGUUGACAAGUUUGGUUAAUUCUUCAUCUUUUUUUCAGGUUAAGAUCAUCCAAUGGCUAAAUCAUCUACUUAAAUAUUCCAUGGUAAAUACUAGGGGUGGGCACUUUACCCGAUAUCCGAAGUGGCACCCGAACCCGAUCCGAAAAACCCGAACCGAAAUCCGAACCGAAGUAGCAAAAUACCCGAACGGGUAUUGAAUUAUGAGAGAUUGGAUACCCGAACCCGAAUGGAUAAUAUCCGAACCCAAAUGGAUAUCCGAAGAUAACCGAACAUAUGUCUAAUUAACCUUAUAUUUCUAGUUUACAUCUCUCAUUUUAUAUAAAAUAAUUAUAUUAAUACUACACAUACUUUAAGUUCAUAUGAUAUACAUACAAUUCCGGAAAAAAUGAUUUGCUACUCACUUAAAAAGUAUGUCAAGGUUUUUUAUUUCAAAAAUUAACAAAAAGUUACAUCCAAAAUUUUAAAACAAUAACUAAAUUAAUGCAUUUUUAGUUUUAAAAUGUUAUGUCCAAAUCUAUUAAUCAUUUAAUUUAUUAAAAAUAAAAAAGAAGUUAAUUAAAAUUUAUAUUCUUAAAUACAAGAAAUUUAAGAAAUGAAAAAUUUAAUUUUUUUUUUCAAAAUCUAAAUAUCCGAACCCGAUCCGAAAUAACCGAACCCGAACUAAAAAUACCCGAACCCGAUCCGAAAUAUAGAAAUACCCGAACGGGUUCUACACCUCUAUACCGAAAUACCCGAAAAUCCGAAAUACCCGACCCGAACCCGAACGGGUACCCGAACGCCCACCCCUAGUAAAUACUUAAGCGAUUAUCUAAACAGUUAUUUGACUAUCUCUUUUAUCUUUUUUAAAUAAAUAAAUAGAUUCAAGACGAAACCUGAUUUACAAGAUAUGUGACUCUGUUUUGAGUACUUUCAAAGUCUCGUCAUGAAAUAAAGAAAAAUGAAGCGCGUAUAGGAAAAGAAAAGUUGAGAUAUUUGAAUGCUGAAACUCCAUGGCUGUCGCAAGCUGAAACUGAAGCUGGUAAUCGGUAAUCUGGUAGAGAACCACAUCUCCAUGGAUUUCUCAUGCCUUUUGUUUCCCAUUCCUCGAACAGAAGAGACUCUUUUUCGAAUCUGUUAAUCUGGCUCUUUUAUAUUUAAUUGUUUCUGAUUAUCAUCUUUUUAUUGUCUCAUGUAGAAGGAUGAUAAUCAUAGCUUAGCUGUUUCCUACACCAGCUCUUCAACACAGGUCCCAAAGCUUAGGUCUUUCCUUUCAUGGGUCAACAAAAGUCUCAUACUUUUGAUGUUUCUCAAGGUGAAGAACUGUUCCUGUGAUAGAGGAGGGACCACGCGAGCAAAGGAAUCAGUUGUUUUCUGUUUUAGGGUCUCUCACUGAUCCAGAAGAAGAAGAAUCAAAGGACUCCUCAGAGGUUAACUCAAUGAGAAGUUUGCUCUUUGAUGUUGGUGUUUUGUGCCUUUCUCUCGCUGAUGAUUUUUUUGGUUAAUUGCAUGCAGGGACAGGUAACAGGUUGCUUAUGUAGAUAUUAAACUACCAAGAAGAAGAAGUUUGCAAGUGGAGUUCAGUUGCAACUCAUGCGGAGAGAGAACUAAACGGCUUAUCAACCGUUUGGCUUAUGAAUGUGGCAUUGUCUUUGUCCAGGUAUACCAGUCUUUGGUUUGCUUAAUUGUCCUGAAGAGACAUGUUAUAUGAUAGUCUUUAAAAGAGUUUUUUGUUUUGUUUUGGCAGUGUGGUGGAUGUCUUAAGCAUCAUAAGCUGGUUGACAAUCUUGGUCAUUGUUGAGUAGGACUUCCGCAAAGAAACCUCCAAGGAUUCAAGUACUGAUCAAAUUUGAUAUGACUUCCGAAAAAAAAAUGUAUUAUUUUUUAAUCAAAUGUGUUUGGUAUACAAUGGGGAAAAAUGUAGCUUUUGGAGUUGAUACAUAGGUGAUAUAGUGAGAAGAAAGCUAGAGACUUUAGGCUGUGAUAGCCAGCAGGAGGAGAGUUCCCAGUACAGUGCUGAGCCACAUUGCUACUCUUCCUUCUAGCUGGUUCAAGGCAUUUCCUCCGUUCUGUAAAACCAGAAAUUAAAGAUUGUUAUAUAAUUCAGUGUGGUGAUAGUGCGUUUCUUUUUAAAGAUUGUAGUUUAGUAAGAGAGUGUUACCACAUUCUGAAAUGGUGAUGGUGCUGGAGACGUUUCCUGGGAAUCUGUUAGAACUGGACGAGAUGGAGGGCUUGGAGGAGUUGGUGCUGGAGGUGGGGCAUGGUAAUGGCUCUUGUGUUUGUGCUUUUUCUUGUGCUUGGCAGGAGCUGGUGCUGGUGGUAGAGUUAUUGGUGUAAGCGCUAGAGGCGGUGAAGCUGGUGGUGCAGAAGGUGAUGCCUGUGGGGGAGAGGCCGGUGCAAGCGGUGGUGAGACGGUUGGAGCUGGCACAGGCGGGCUUUGUGGUGGUUGUGGAGGCUAGCUGCUGGGCUGAUAACUGGUGCAACCUUUGGAGCUGUGGUGGUGAGACGGUUGGUGUAACUUCUGGUGGAGGUGUAGUCGGAGAUGCUGGUGGCGGAGUAGCUGAAACGGGUGGAACAACUGUUGUUGGAGUCGUAGCUUAGCUCUUUCCUUCCAUGGGUCAACGAAAGUCUCAUAUUAUAAUAUAAAUUCAGAUUUCGGGGUGAUCAUUACAGCAUGUACUGAUUGUCAACUUUCUUAUUGAUAGUAGAUAACAAUUUUUGUAUAAUUCACUUAUUGUGCAUGAUUGUAUGCGGCAAAAGAUUCAGUCUAUGGUCUUGCCUAUGACGUUGUCAUAUCCUUGCUUCAGAAUCCUAGCAAUUAUGUACUAAAUUAAGAACAACAGAAGCGGAAUUUUAAAUGAAAAGUAUUUUAUUUUAUUUUUCACAUAAACAAUGUUUGAAAUAUUUUUAUUUCAGUAUUUAGCGGAUGUAAUGCAGAGAAAUGAGAGCAAAAGGAGUAUAAAACUUAGAAGAAGAAUGAAGAUUGUGAACAAAACACUCAAACACCAUCAAUGAUCACAAGAAGAGAAAUGUUUAAAAAGUGGGAGAGCGUUAGAACCUUCAGAAGAAGAUACCAAGUUUUUUUUCACUAUGAAGACUGAUAUAUGGUAUUUUAUACAUCUUGUAUAUAUGCUUUUAAAUUGGUUUUCAAGUCUUUAUCGAGUCUUCCUAGUCCUUUUGGAGUCAUUACAGGUCUGGAGUUGCAUUUGAUGGGAGAUGGAUCAGCUGGAACAAAAGAGGCCGAAAACAAUGCAAUUUGGUGGUUUUCACGCAGAACAGUCUUGAUGACUGUUCCGAGUGAGUGUUCCAGCGGCAGAGAUUUUUUUAGGAAACUACAAUCAUUACGGGAUUUGCCCUAAUUAUCUCUAUUUUCUCUCCCAGCCGCCUGUGGCUUUGAUAUAUCAUAUUUUCUGUUUCUCUUUAUCAUUCUACGCUGUUUUUGGGAGAAGAAACCAGACCUUAGAGUUGGAGACUUGUGAUUUGAUACUUUGUAAAGGGAGAAGGCUCCAUCUCUCUCACCAUAGAGAAGAACCCCCUGAACCCUUAUUCUAUUUUAUCUACACAUGUUUUAUUCAGUCUCUGUCUCUGUGUUUUCUUGCUCCAUGGCUGAGUAGUCAGCUUGCUUAGUCUAGGGUGUUAGGGUGUUAGAUCCGUGAGCUUGACAUAAAUAAGUUAUAAAUCGAUUGUCUUCAUUCACUGUUGUUCUUAAGGCUUGCAUCAAGUUAACCACUUAGUGCCUGAUUUUAGGUUUAAUCUAUUCAUCAAAAGUGUUAUAGGUUGCUAGACAUAACUUGAAUGAGCAUCAUAUCCCUAACCAGCGAAAGUAGAUGUUAGGGUAACAUGGAGUUCAGUUGCAACUCAUGCGGAGAGAUAACUAAACGGCUUAUCAACCGUUUGGCUUAUGAACGUGGCAUUGUCUUUGUCCAGGUAUACCAGUCUUUGGUUUGCUUAAUUGUCCUGAAGAGACAUGUUAUAUGAUAGUCUUUAAAGAGUUUUUUGUUUUGUUUUGGCAGUGUGGUGGAUGUCUUAAGCAUCAUAAGCUGGUUGACAAUCUUGGUCAUUGUUGAGUAGGACUUCCGCAAAGAAACCUCCAAGGAUUCAAGUACUGAUCAAAUUUGAUAUGACUUCCGAUAAAAAAUGUAAUAUUUUUUAAUCAAAUGUGUUUGGUAUACAAUGGGGAAAAAUGUAGCUUUUGGAGUUGAUACAUAGGUGAUAUAGUGAGAAGAAAGCUAGAGAUUUUAGGCUGUGAUAGCCAGCAGGAGGAGAGUUCCCAGUACAGUGCUGAGCCACAUUGCUACUCUUCCUUCUAGCUGGUUCAAGGCAUUUCCUCCGUUCUGUAAAAUCAGAAAUUAAAGAUUGUUAUAUAAUUCAGUGUGGUGAUAGUGCAUUUCUUUUUAAAGAUUGUAUUUUAGUAAGAGAGUGUUACCGCAUUCUGAAAUGGUGAUGGUGCUGUAGACGUGUCCUGGGAAUCUGUUAGAACUGGACGAGAUGGAAGGCUUGGAGGAGUUGGUGCUGGAGGUGGGGCAUGGUAAUGCCUCUUGUGUUUGUGCUUUUUCUUGUGCUUGGCUGGAGCUGGUGCUGGUGGUAGAGCUAUUGGUGUAAGCGCUAGAGGCGGUGAAGCUGGUGGUGCAGAAGGUGAUGCCUGUGGGGGAGAGGCCGGUGCAAGCGGUGGUGAGACGGUUGGAGCUGGCACAGGCAGGCUUUGUGGUGGUUGUGGAGGCUAGCUGCUGGGCUGAUAACUGGUGAUAGUAUGUAUCAUGACGAUUUUAAUUGAUUACUAAGAUAUGUUUUACAGAUUAGUAUUUUCAAAUUUUAUCUUCAUAUAGUUCUCAGAUGUCGAUUUUAGUGUAUUAGAGUGUAGUAUUUUAGCAGCCAAUAUAAGUGUUAUAGAGUAUAACCCAUUUACGGUUUAUCAUAAUGACUUCUCUUACUGUCUGAGCAAGUUCUAGUGAUCGGUUGCUUGUUGUCUGAGUUUGAUAGGUUCAGAAUCUCUUAAGUUUGUAGUAUUGUUUUCAUUAUGAUCGACUAAUAUACACUCCAUGGAUUCUUGUUUACAAUCGUUGGCUUUAUAAUCAGCUUCAGUUCACAAUCUAUUACUUAUUGUUUGAUUUCUGUAUUUCAAAGCUAGCUUCAAUUUAUAGUAUAAUGAUUAAAGAGUAAAGGUUGCAGAGAAACCUAUUGAUCAGCUUCAGUUUACAACUUAUUGUCAAAUAGAUAACAUUGCAGAAAAUCAAGGAAUGAUUGCAUAAAAUCAAGUAAACCACAAGAAAAUCCAGAAGCAAGUAAACAAAGCAAAUCGAGUAACAAACACCAUAAUGAAAAACAAGAAAAUCCAAAACAAAGACAUGUCUAAAUGGCUCUGUCACACGUAGCCCUGUUAUGAUUAUCUUCGCCACAUCGACUGCACCUGCGCCUCUUUUUUUCUUGAGCUCCUUGCGAUGAACGGAUCUUGUCUUCAACUGUCUCAUACCUGCGUUUUCUUCUCCUUCCUGCUCCUCGUCUUGAUUCAGGAGCUAGCACAUCAGCAUUCCGAACAGUAUCUGGAACCACCCAAAUAUCCUCAGGAACACCUAUUGGAUUGAUAGUUUCUUCAUAAGCUGUUCUCCAAGUGGAAGUCGUGUACAUGUCAUUCGUUNNNNNNNNNNNNNNNNNNNNNNNNNNNNNNNNNNNNNNNNNNNNNNNNNNNNNNNNNNNNNNNNNNNNNNNNNNNNNNNNNNNNNNNNNNNNNNNNNNNNNNNNNNNNNNNNNNNNNNNNNNNNNNNNNNNNNNNNNNNNNNNNNNNNNNNNNNNNNNNNNNNNNNNNNNNNNNNNNNNNNNNNNNNNNNNNNNNNNNNNNNNNNNNNNNNNNNNNNNNNNNNNNNNNNNNNNNNNNNNNNNNNNNNNNNNNNNNNNNNNNNNNNNNNNNNNNNNNNNNNNNNNNNNNNNNNNNNNNNNNNNNNNNNNNNNNNNNNNNNNNNNNNNNNNNNNNNNNNNNNNNNNNNNNNNNNNNNNNNNNNNNNNNNNNNNNNNNNNNNNNNNNNNNNNNNNNNNNNNNNNNNNNNNNNNNNNNNNNNNNNNNNNNNNNNNNNNNNNNNNNNNNNNNNNNNNNNNNNNNNNNNNNNNNNNNNNNNNNNNNNNNNNNNNNNNNNNNNNNNNNNNNNNNNNNNNNNNNNNNNNNNNNNNNNNNNNNNNNNNNNNNNNNNNNNNNNNNNNNNNCACAUUUUCAAGCGCCUUACAAAGUGAGUUAUUUCUGUCUGACACAAAAGCAAGAGCACGCUCGUCCGGAACAACAACCUUUAGUUGUCUGAAAAACCAAUCCCAUGAACGAUCAUUUUCUGAGUCCACAACCGCAAAUGCAAUAGGAUACAAGUUGGAGUUUCCAUCUAAAAUUGUCGCAACAAGCAAUACCCCUUUGUAUUUGCUCUUCAAAAAUGUCCCAUCAACAGCAAGAACUUUUCGCAUGGCUGUAUGAAAACCUCGUACUGAUUGCCCAAACGAAACGAAGAGAAAUCUGAAUUUACCAUCAACAUCGGUUUCGUAAAAGGUGUGUGUUCCUGGAUUAGCUUCUUUCAGCAUGUGCAAGUAUUUCAGAAUUUUUUCAAAACUCUGCUCGGGAAUGCCUCUAGCCAGACUAAUUGCAUACUCACGAGCAUCCCACGCUAAUGAUUUAGAUAUCUCACAUCCAUGUUCCAUUCUCAUAAUAUGUAUGAUAUCAUUAGCUUUGGGACCUUCUUUGACACCAUCAUACCUAUGCAUUAUUAGACUCCCAAUAGUUUUUGCAGAAGCUGUCCGACCACCAUUAUUCAUACUUGACGCAGCACAUGUAUGAUUCGCCACAUAUUUUUUGAUGAUGAAAUAUGUGGAUCCCGAUAACCCCUCAGCACGAACACUCCACUUACACUUGUUGUCCACGCAUCGGAUGUACCAAAGUUUUCUAUCUGAAUUCACCACUUUGUAAUCGAAGUUAUUCUUCAUUGCUGACAUUUCCAAUGCUGCUUUCAACUUUGAUUUGUUUUGAAACGUUUCACCCCUCUUCACAACAUCCUUCAAAGAGAACCAAACACUUUUUCCCCUAUCGUCUUCUUUUCCACAUAAGUCAACAUCUUUAUCUUCUUCCGAGGCGUUCGAGUUACAUUCGUCUUCAACAUCCUUGCUCGAUUCAGAUGAACUACCAAUGCCAUCUCGUGGUGAAAACGAGGAAGGCUCACCUAGCUCUCUGAAAGGCGAUUUAGAUUGCUCCCCAUCAAGCUCAAUGUUGUCGCUAUUUCCAUUGACAUGUGAAAUAGACACACACAACUUUGUAGAAGCUUUUCCACGUACAUAUGUAAGAAAAUUCUUGACUUGCCGAUCAUUCCCAAUGAUAACUGGGGGACAGUCUAUCGUACUGAUUAACUCCAUAGGUAAGUAGCUUAACUCAAGCACGACAUCGUUUUGGUCAAUUCAAAAAUCCUCAAAAGUCGUAGUCCUUAGAUCUUCAAAGGAACUUUUCAAUUCCACAGCCAGUACUGUACAUCCUUUUUCCUUAUCAAAAGCAAAUCUCCAUCCUUUACAUGGAUCAAAUUUCCACACUCCACAAGAGGCAUAGAUAUGCAUGUUCUUCAACAAUGGAUUCAAAUUUUUGGGGUGGUUUCAAAAUUAAUCAAGAACAUGUGAAGAAGAAGAGAGAGAUCACAGUCAUUUAAAAAAAAAAAUAACUUUAGGAAACACGUAAAAUUUGGGAAAAUAAAGAUUUACGGAAUAUUUUUCAACAUAUUUUGGAGAGAUUUAAGGAAUAUUUUCCUAAAUAAUUCGAAUUUGGCAGAACAUGCAUUCUGCUGCCAGUAGAUUGUAAUAUGAUGGUAGAUACGACGGCAGAAUGUAUAAUCCGGCAGAGAUAGGUUAUAGUAUCUUAGUAGAUAACGAAAUAUUUCCAUGAUAGAUUAUUAGUAACUUGCAGUUUCUGUGCUUCCCAGCCAAUAGAUAUAUAGGAAACAAUAGUUCAUGAAAUCUUUCGUGUUUCAGAUUGUAAGCAAAACCGUAACCUUUUUUUCUGCGGUAGUAGACCGAUUACCAAAUCGUAGAUUUUAACAUCUGUAAGCGCCAGAUAUCUAUGUAGUUAACCGAAACUACGAUCUACAUAGCCGUAGUUAGUAGAUUUUGUUUUCUGCUAUCUGAAGAUCAAAAUAUGAAAUUAUGUUUCACUAAUAUUUAGUCAACCUAAUUAUUUUUCAUAUGAUUUCCAUGUUUAUGUACAUUAAUAUUUUUUUCAUAAUUUUCUGACUCUUAAAAUAAUUGAUAUGAAUUUUUUAAGUUGGCUAGAGGUAUCUAAGUCCAAAUCUGACAAAAAAAGAUUUAUGGUAGAGAGACAAUGUAGUUGUUUUUCUGCCGUGUUUUGGCAAUUUUUUCAAAAAAAAAUGUGAAUCUACUAACUGGAAACGAGUGUGAAUGUGAAUCAAUAAUUGUUGAAAUCAAAUGAGCACUAUAUCAAAAUAUCUUGUUUCGUGUGGACCAAGAGGAAAGUCUAUCUUCAACUACUAUCUGCACACACUCUGUCUUCAAUUUCUCUCUGCAUCAUAUCUGACUUUCUCAGAUAAGUAAAAUUUCAAGUAUCUGCUUUUUUAUGUUCUUCUAUAAUGGGCAACUGCGUCUCCCUCUCGAUAUCUUCUGAUCAAUCGAUGAAAAAGGUAUGUCAAUGGCUAGACAUCCAAGUAGGUUAUGUUCACAACCUCGAGAAGAAUCUGGCGGGCAACCAUGGAAGAGCUCAAGGCUAAGCGUGAUGAUUUAUCAAGAAGGGUAACAAGAGAGGAGGAUAGAGGUUUACAAAGGCUUUCUGAAUUCCAGGUAUGGCUUACUAGAGUUGAGACUUUUGAAAACGAAGCCAACAAUCUUCUUAGUGCUAGAAAUGGUCAACUUCAAAGGCUUUGUCUUCUUGGUUUUUGCUCUAAGAGUUUAAUAUUGAGUUAUCGUUAUGGCAAAAGUGUUUCCAUGAAUUUAAGGGAGGUUGAAAAACUGAAUAGUAAAGUUUUCGAAGUGAUCGUUGAGCAAGCUCACACAUUUGAGGUGGAGGAAAGACAGCUUCAGUCAACAAUUGUUGGUCAGAAAGAAAUGUUGGAGAACGCAUGGAAUCAUCUCAUGGAAGAUCGAGUUGGUAUUAUGGGUUUGUACGGUAUGGGGGGAGUAGGGAAAACAACUCUUCUCACACAACUCAACAAUAAGUUCAGUGGCAUGACGUGUGGAUUUGAUUUUGUGAUUUGGGUUGUGGUGUCUAAAGAGUUACGAGUAGAGAAGAUUCAAAGUGAGAUCGCUCGGAAGGUUGGUCUUGAUGGAGAUGAAUGGAAACAAAAAGAGAAAAGCCAAAAAGCUGAUGUUAUAUACAAUUUCUUAAGGAAAAAGAGACUCCUGUUGUUUUUAGAUGACAUAUGGGAGAAGGUGGAUUUAGUUGAGAUUGGAAUCCCGUUUCCAACAACACAAAACCGAUGCAAAGUGGCAUUCACAACCCGUUCCAAGGCUAUAUGUGCGCACAUGGGCGUUGAAGAACCAAUGGAAGUCAAAUGCUUGUCGGAAGAUGACGCAUAUGAUUUGUUCCAAAAGAAGGUUGGACAAAUAACAUUAAGAAGUGAUCCAGGGAUCCCCGAACUUGCAAGAAAAGUUGCUAAGAAAUGUUGUGGCCUACCGUUGGCACUUAAUGUUGUAGGCGAGGCCAUGUCAUGCAAGAGGACGCUACAAGAAUGGUGUUACACGAUAGAUGUCUUGACUUCAUAUGCCGUAGAGUUUUCUGGCAUGAAAGAUAAAAUUCUUCCACUUUUGAAGUAUAGCUAUGAUAAUCUUGAGGUGGAGCAGGUCAAAACGUGUUUACUAUAUUGCACUUUAUUUCCCGAAGAUGAUAAAAUUCCUAAAGAGAAAUUGAUAAGCUUAUGGAUAUGCGAAGGGAUAAUAGACGGAAGUGGAGGUAUAGAAAGAGCUGAGAACAAGGGUUAUGAUAUAAUUGGUAGUCUUGUUCGUGCAUCACUGUUAACGGAUGUCAAAUGGUAUGGAACAGAGAAUGUAUGUAUGCAUGAUGUAGUUCGUGACUGAUAUGACUUUUCUAGUGGAUAAUCCAUAUAUAUAUAAUAGACAUAAAAUAAUUCUAAGCAGCUAGGGCCAGGCAUUUUAUAUGUUAUUCGUUUCGAUUAAAUCCAAAAAAUCCAGAUAUCCUGAGGUCUUCGGAGCAAAGAAAAUACUAAAAAUCAAUAUCCAUUAAAAACAAAGUAAUCACAUAUACGAAAAAAUUUAGAGAUGGAUAUCUACUAUGCUCCAUUCUGACUUUAGUACAUAUAUAUGUAUAUCUAUAAUUUAGUAUAGAGUUUUAAAUAUAUAAUCGUAUAUUGUUAUUAUUUUAACAUAUCGUUUUAUUAAUUUAAUUAUAAAAUUACUUAUGAAAAUAUUAAAUUAAGAAACUACAAUUUUCUCUUAAAAAAUAAUUUUAUAAGAAAAAUUUAUUAAUUUUUACAAUUAAUGAAACAAAAAAAUUCAUUAUUUUUUUUAUUUUAUUUGAUGCAAUAUAAUUUUUAAAAACAAAUUUAUAAAACUUUUCUAGAUUUACUUAUAUUGAACAAGUGGAUGAGGCAUUCAUAAAUAUCCAUAAAAUUUUGAAAAGAUUCACAAAUACUCACAAAUUUUCUAGAUAUCCAGAAAAUCGGAUAUCCAUAUUUUUUUUAAGAAAACCAAAAAAAAAAAUAUCAGAUUUUCAUUAAGUAUAAAACAAAUAACAAAUACUGAAAAUUAUGGUUAUAUUUGCUCUGUGUCCACCCUUACUCUCAGUGCUCUCAAAUGGUGUGAAAAAACACUCAUUUUUUACUCUAAGUAAUUCAACACAAAUUUAUUUAUAUACCCCUAAUCUAUUUUUUGGUGUGUUCACUAAAUACUUCUACUGAUACACCCAAUUUUAUUUAUAUACCCCUAAUCUAAUUUGUGUGUGAAAUAAAUACUUUUAUUGAUAUGUCCCUGACUUGACUUGUUGUUAUCAGAAGAAUAGUUGGAUGGUUGGUUUUGACUAGGGGUGUCAAUUAGGUAGGGGUGUUCAAUCCGGAUAUCGGUUCGGUUUCGGUUCGGUUUUUUCAGUUUUUCGGUAUUUCGGUUAGUAAAAUAUAACUACCAUUCUAAAUCCAUAUUUACUUCGGUUCGGUUCGGUUUAUAUACCGUCAGUUUUCGGUUUAUUCGGUUUUAUACCAUAAAACAUAAUUCUUUAUUUUGGGAUCAUAUUAUAUAAAUUUUAGAGUCUUGUUGUCAACACAUUCAUUUAUUAAAAAAUAUUAUAAGUUUAAAUAAAAGAACAAAAAUAAAAAAUGUUUCUAUCAUCUAAUAAAAUAAUCAAAUCUAUAAUUAAAAUCAAAGCUCAAAAUUUUGAUAAUGAAAAUAAAAAACAAAAAAUAAAACAGAAGCACGAAGCACAAAAAAUAAGUUAUUAUAUUCUUUCAUAUUUAGCGUUCAUCAAAGUCAUAUUUCUUCUAUUAAACAUGAAACUCUAUUCGUUUAUAGAUAAAAAAAAAUUGUGAAGAAUUUCCACUAAUUGUCAUCAUCAAAUUUAUAAUUUUUAUUUCAAUUUAGUCAAUGCUAAAUUAAAGCAAAAAGAUCAAAAGAGACUAAGAAAAUAAGAAGCAUGUUUGCGAUGAAUUGUUAUUUAAUUAUAGUUCAAGUGUUUUACAAAUCAGGACUAUUUUAUUACUGUAAAAAAUAUGGUAAUAGUUAUUGGCAAAAAAAUUAACUUAUAAUUUUCAUACGUUGUUAUAAAAUAUAUACAUACUUACAUGUUUCUAUUUUUUGAUCGGUUUUAUUCGGUUUAUUCGGUUUUAUCGGUUAUAUACCGAACCAUAUCCAAAUCCUACGGUUUUUUAAAAAUCUUAUCCAUUCGGUUUGUAUGGUAUAUACCAAAUCCAAACUAUAUUAUCUAUUUCGGUUUGGUUCGGUUCGGUACGGUUCGGUUUUGCCAUAUUGAACAGCCCUACAAUUAGGGCUCAAACCCGUUAAGCCCGUAAAUAUUUGAGCCCGACCCGGCCCGGAAAUAUUUUAGGCUUAGAAUUCAAAGUCUGGUCCGGCCCUUAUAGGGCUAUAGGGAUUUUCAGGCUUUUGUGGGCUUUUCAAAAAAUAAUUUGUCAUUGUCACUUCCAUCAUUUUAAUACCAGUGAAUUUUCAUAAAAAAAUUUUUCAUUUAAAAAAAAAAUAUAUAAAGUGAGUUUAAAUUUGGUUUUUUUAUUAAAAAUGUUUUAUCUUUUCGUAUGUUUUAGAAACAUAUUAUAAACAAACCAAAUUUAAUAAAAUUUAAAUAAUCAAAUAUAUAUUAAAACUAAACAUAUAAGAGAACAAAAUUUAUGAUAAACAUGGUCAAACGUUUCAUACUUUGUAUUUUGCAAUAAAAAACAUGUUGUACAUGAAAGAAGAAGGUACAUUUGCAAAAUUUAUAUUGUAACACUUGUAAUGAUGAAACAAUAAAGUGCAUUAACAACUUUUAUAUUUGCUUUAUUUGAGUUUGGAUAAACAUAUUAAAAUAAUAUAUCAAUACUAAUAAUGGUUUCGAUUACAAGAACGAUAAUAUUUAAGCUAAAAUUUAAAUUUCGGAUCUUCGGGUCGGCCCUAUCCUAAACGGGCUUAGUCCCAAGAUACCUGAAGCCCAAAUGGGCUUAGCCCGAAAGGCCCAAUUUUUUAUGGGCUUAUAAAACUAAGCCCAAACCCGGUAAUUUUUAGGGCCGGGCGGGAUCGGACUGCGGGCUUCGACCCUAAUUGACAUGUCUAGUUUUGACUUUCAAGUAAUAUGCUUUCCAGAUGUGUUCAUAAGCCAUCUCCAACGCAAAGGCAAAAAACAUCAUUUUAGUGUAAUUUUUACACUAAAAUUUUUCCAACCAAAAUUUAAUAACCAUAUUAUUUUAGUGUAGAAGCUACGGUACCACACCAAAUUCUGUAUUCACAACACUAAACACUAAUUACUUACUUUUAAUAAUAAUAUAUUAGUUAAAUAAAUAUUGGUGGUAACAUAAAUACAUAGAAAUAGAAAAUAAAUAUAUAGAAUAAAUCUAUUACACAUAUAUUGAAAUAUUUUAUUUUAUUUUAUUAGUAUUAUUAUAUGUCAAAAUAGUAAAUAUUUAUUUAAAAAAAAUAUAUUAGUGUGAUAUAUUUUUGUGCAAUCUAAUUACAUACGAAAUUUUAUUUAUAUAUAGAUUUGAUAGUAAAAAUCUAAGUUAAUAAUAUAUAAAAAAAAAUAUUUUGUGUAAAAUUUGGUGUUGUGGUUGGAAAAUGAAAUUUUCUUAGUGAUAAAACUACACUGAAAAGAUGUGGAUUUCACACAAAAAUUGUGUUAUGGGUUAGAGAUGCAGCUAAUUUUCCUUUGUCUGGUGCCCAAAAUAAAUUAUCGUUUAUGUAUACUAGGUGGUUUAUUCGCGAAUUCGCGGAUAUAAAUAUUGUAUAAAUAUAUAUAUAUAUAUAUAUAUAUAUAUAUAUCAUACAUACAAUACUUUAAAUUUGGAAUAAUAAUUUGAAAAAAGAUUCAUAUUGUAUUUUUGGAACGUGAGAUUUAGUGAUAAUUAAAUUAUAUUAAUCUAAGUUGCUAAAAAUAUUUAUUUUACAUGAUCUUGAUUAAAUGGUUAACAAAUUCAUGAUUAGGUGAACCAAAAAAAAACUAUUUUAAAACAUUUUAUAAUCAUGGCAUUAUCUUAUAUAUCACUUCUUUUAACUUUGAUGCAAAGUAAUUCUCAAUUGAAAAGUUUUCAUAAGUUUGAUAAAAUAACUGAUAACUAUUUAGUUAUAAAAAAUAAUAGUGGAAUUACAGACCUAAUUAUCAUAUUAACUUCUCCAACACAUAUUAUACAUCAUCUUUGUACUUCUCUUUUUCAUUCUCCUCUUAUUUCUCACAUUAUCAUUUCUUUCUUUUGCCAAAAAUCUCUAUAUACUGCUCUAAAUAAUAACACAAACAAUACAAUCAAAAUUAAAAAUCAUCGACCAAUCAAAUUAUAACAAUUUCUUAAUUUUUCACCAGUGAUCGACAGAUAAGGAAAAAUCACUUAAGUGACUUCUCAUUUAAUAUAUAUGAAGAUAUUUUUUUAUUUUUUUAAUAAUGUUUUAUAAAGCAUGUGUAGACUUUAUAAGAUUUUAUAGUUAUUAUAUAAUUGUAUAAGAAUAUAGGUUGUUGUUUAAAAUAUAAAAUUAUUAUAUUUAGUUUCAUACAAAAAAGUUUCGUUUAUUAUAUUUUAUAGUUUAUAAAUAUUAAAAUAAUUGAUAAAACAUUAUUAGUCUUUCUAUAGUUUUGAGAUUUAGUUACCAUAAGUUAUUAUCUAUCUAUAUAUAUAUAUAAUAAUAAUAAUAUUUUCUCCCUGCUGGUGAAGACACUUAGGAUGCCAAGUCACAAAAUCGACUCUUGUGAACGUGACAUGUGUCUAGGCCAAUGAAACUCUAAGUUUCAUUUAAUCUGCACCGUCGUCAUGGGCUUUGGUUGGGUAUUUACGUGUUUAGGCUGUAAAUCAGAUUUUUCUCUCUCUUAAGUAUUACACGUCAUCAAAACCCACAACAAACUUUGGCACCGUUGCAGAGGUUGAUGACAUUCAAAGGUCGUCAUUAAAGCUUUAAUUAACACAUCCACUCCCCAGGCAAUCUCUCACACAAUACUCCUAUUUUCUUCUAUGAGCGAAUCUAAAGCUAUAAAUAUGUUAGUUUCUCUGCGUAAAAUUCAUUUGUUAUCAUUCUACGUUUAGAGAUUCAUCGAUCAUAAUCAUCAUCAUGUACAAAGAUCCAUGUCUCUUUGCAAUAUUAACCUCCAUUUAAAGAGGUUUUCUCUUGGAAAAUACUUUAAUCUCUCUGCCGCCGACUCAAAUUAGAAGCCAAAGUGUUUGUGCUCUCCGCGAUGCACCUUGGAUCAUUCCGCUGCGGUUUUCACCGCGGAUUAGAAAACGAGAGUGUCAGAAUCCUAGCUUCGUCAAACAAGUGUACUAACACGAGGAAGAGUAUUUCUGGGUUAAUUCUAGGAAAAUUGGUUUUGGUGAAUUCGCUAUAACUGUUUAAGUUACUUGACGGAGAGUAUUGUUAAUUUAAACCGCCGUCUUUCCAUAUGUGCACCGUCAUGAGUUCCGGCCAAUCUACGUAAUGCAUAAUCACGUUAGAAUAAAUAGGAAUCUAGGUUUCUCGAAAUUAGUUUUUUUGUUUCUUGCGUUUAGGAAUUAUAUUUUGGUUAUGUGUAUGUACAUCAUGAUGUCAUCAGCAGGACCCGUAUUCUCACUUUGUUUUCUUAAUAUUCCAUUGUAUAUAAACUAAUUUAUAAGAAACUGUUGAUCUUUUAAACGUUCUCAACUCUAUAUUUUUCACUUUUGGUAUGUCUGACUAUAACUUUUCAUUCGAUGUUUAUACAAUGAUAGAUACUCAGAUACAGCAAGUACAUAUGUUAUUAAUGGUUUCUUUCUAAUAUUGAUGAUGAUGCAACUUAUGUUGAACACCCCUUAUACAUAGAAAAGUGAAAAGAAAAGAAGAUACUGAGAAUCACAUAUUGUGUUCUUUUUCUUAUCUCAAAUUUCAACAAAGCUAACGAUCCCAAGAAAAAAAAAAAAUACAAUCUUUUUUUUCUUGGGAUCGUUAGCGUUGUUGAAAUUUGAGAUCAAUAUAGUAGCAACUAUAGAGAAUCUUUUAUUUUCGUACAUGACAAGCUACUAAGAACAAAAAUAUAUUCAUAAUAACAAUAGAUAUUAUAACAUAUGAAUGUGGGUUAACCCUCUCUGCUCAUGUGAACCUCAUCAAAAUAAGUUGUCUAAAAAUUUGACACUAUAAUUUUUAAAAAUGUAUUAAACACUCUAUAUUACUUAUCAUCGUAUUCUAUUAAAUAAAAUUAUUAAUAAAAUGUUUAAUAACCCAAAAGUUCUUUUUAAUCAAUAGUUUAAUUACAAUCUAACAAAAAAAUUCAUCAAUGCAAAAUUAUUUUAGCACGCAAUAUAUAAUAUCAUCUAAAGUACAUACACUUCAAAAGAAGAAUAAAAAUAAUUUUUGUAGUGAUAUUGUGUCUUCAAUUUUUAUCAAAAGCAAAUAAAAAGCGUAAAGCUUAUGAAAUGAUUCCACCAUUUUAUCACGAAGCUCAAGAUUAGAAAAUUAAAAAAUAAAGAAAAAAUGUAACCAAAUAUUAAUACAUAAUAGAUUAAAAAAUAGUUUCUACAAAAAUAACACCACAAUAAAAAAAUUAAUAGAUAAUCAAAAGUCAAAACUAAUUGUUAGGAAAAAUAGAAUAAAAUACAGAAAUAAGAAAAUAAUAUAAAAACAAAAAUAAAUAUUUUUUUAUAUAAAAGAGAUAUGUUAUGUUAUUCUAACUAAAUAAAUAUAGAAUGUUUUUAAAAUAUUUAUGUCAGGAAUUCUAAAAAAAAAUUAUAAACAUAGAUCCACAACUGUGUAAAAAUACAAAUAUAUAGUUGUAUAGUCGAAUAAGAGACACACGAUAUAAAAUAAUGUAAUAGAAUGAAUAAAACUAGAUAACUUCAAAUUAAAAAAAAUAAAUCAACAAUUCUACACCAUUAAAAUAAAAACAUAAUAAAAUUUCAAAUAAACAAUCUUAUUAAUCGUAAGGAAAUAUUUAGUUAAUUGUAAUGAGAAUGAAACUGAAUAAGAAAUAACAAUCAAUAAAAUAAUGAUUCAUACUAAUAUAGAACAAAACAUUUUAAAAUAAAAACAAAUAUUAAACAAAAAUCAAAAAUAUUACUCUAACUAUUUAAAUUAUUUUCAAAUUAUCAUCCCGCUCGUAAGGCGGGUCAGCCCUAGUUUUUUUAAUAUUCUUUAGAUUAUUUGAAAAGUGAUAUCAAUUGGUUCUAGACUUACCAUUAAUUUUUAGAUCUAAUUUAAAUAAAUCAAAAGAAGGAUCUUUGAGAGAUCAUAGAUGCAGCCAAUACAACAAAACUUUAGAUAUUCAAUUCUAAAACACUGGUUUGAUCUGACAACCCUAGCAUAUAUUCAAUAUAUAUAAGAAAAUGUAUAUUUAUUCAUACAUAUUGGUUCAAUCUUACAACCCUAGCAUCUAUCCAAGAUGUACAUAUAUAGUUUCAAUUAGUUAUUUUCUAUGCUUUUUUGUUGACCCAGGGGCAGACCAAGACCCAACUGACUAAUCGUUGGAGACCAGUCCACUCCACCGGCACCAAAUAGAUUAGGUUGCUCGAAAGGGAGUUAGACAUCUAUGUCACAUGUCAACACAUAUGAGUAAUCUGAGUGUGAGGUUUCGAAUCCGGAUCAUUUAAGGACUUUCCGAUCCGCCUUCGCCACCCGGCCACAUCCGCGUAGUUUGUUACUUCAAUGUUUGCUAAGAAUAUUAUGUGGAUGUUUGAUUUUUUCUAUCUCAACACCUUUCAGUCCAUGCAAUUGUGCUAAUUCUUGUUGCAGUUUAUAUAGCUCUUGAUUGUGCUAGCUAGCAUAUAAGACACAACUUCAAAAUAUUUAGUUUAUUCUGUCUUCUCGAACCCCAUUCAUUUAAAUCACUAGACGAAAACAACACCACAACUAGAUCCAAUAUUAUACCAAGCAAAGGCUCUUCAAUACUAAAAAAUCAUUCAUAACUAAAAUGUUCCUAUAUUUUUUUUAGAUCAUCACAAGUUAAUUAAAACAGAGCCAAAAAGGAUUCAGAAAAACAUGGAAAAUAAACACGUCUUACAAACAAAAUUACCGUAGAUACGUAUUCCCAACUUAUCCAUUAAAAAGGAUAUUUUUAUGUUGUUCUUGGGAAUCCUUCCAAUAUUUAUCCUACACUUUUUAUUUAUUACGUUCUACUUUAUUUGUUUGUCUAGAACUUAUGCUCCGAAUAGAUAAAAAAAACGGAUCAGACGAUGCUCAUCUAGUGAAAUUAAGCAGAUCAACUGAAAUAAGUGCGGAUCGAACGGAUCCAGUCAUACAAGAGUGGAUCAAGUGGAUCUAAUAGUUUAAAAUAUAUGUACGAAGGAUGAAAGUGUAUAAAAUGUGGUUCAAAACACUGUAUCAACUUAGAAUAAUUUAUAUAAGAUUUAAGUUAGGAUUAUUUUGUAUUAACUUUUCAUAAAAUAAAUUAACUAAUAAAAAAAUAUGUAUAUAAACAGCAUAUUAAAAUUACACAUUCAAAUACAACUGGAUUUUUAAUUAGUUUUUUUUAAAUAUAACUUAAUUGUAUAAAUAAUACUUCAGUUUUUAUUUUUGAAAAUAUAUAAACCGUAUUAUUAUAAUAUAUAGUAACUAAACAAUGCAUUUUGUAUUAGAACAUCUAAAACUUAGCUAUACAUGUACCAAUCAUAUUACAUGUAUGUGAUAAGCUAAGUAAAAGAAAUUUUUUUAAAUUAUACAAACAAAAAAGUAAAUUUUAAUUUAUAACAUUAUUUUAAUUUAAAACUUAAGUUGUGGUGGUUCAGAGAUGUCAUCUAUGGUUUCCCCAAUGCUGUUCCGGCGGUUUCUCUCUCAUUUGUUUAUCCCUCUUAUAGCUCUUCGCUUCAAUUUGCCGAUGAGGCUUUGUUGACUGGUGUCGUCAGUGUAUGCUCUAUGUUUCUCAGUUUUCAAGUUGGUUCCAACAGAUAGACGUCAUAUAAUUGUUCAUUUCUUUGGUUCUCAAAACAGCGUUUGGUGAGGCGUGUGUGGUUUCAGUUUGUCAUAUGUCUUCAUUAGCCCUAAGUGAAUCCAAACUAAGAAGCAUAAUUUCCAUGUGCCAUGAACGUCACUUGAUACUCAUGGUAAUGUUGGUAGCAGUUGCUGUCUCAAACCCGGUUUUCUGCACCCCACCAUUGGUGUUUUUCGUCGUCGUUAAUUUUGUCAAUGUGCAGAUUUUUGACGGUAAAGUAGACUUUGUACAACAUGCUUUUGGAUGUUUUUUUUUGGGUAAGCAUCUUCAGCCUUCUGUGCUCUAUUUUCGCAUGGCGCUUAAAUGAUAAUGGAAGUUACAAUUCUUGAUGAGCCCAUCGGAAGCCAACUACUCUGGUGACGACAUGGGAAGAUCCCAGCAUCUGAGUAAACAAGGAGAAUCUCUUUUUUCGUGGUUUUCGUUGAAAGUUGAAAACAGUAAUCGAUUCUCAAGGAAAUAGGAUUUGAUCUACUAGAAUGCGUCAAAGACAUGAGUUGAGGGAAAUUAGAUUAGAAAAUUUAUGGAUUUGAGUGCUUUUGUUCGAGUCAGGCUUGUAAUUGAAACUUUAUUCCCGAUUUCGGAUUCGGUUUAAAAUGUUUGCUUAAAUUUUUUUUAGGAAAGAUCAUGUGUUUAAUAGUGUAGAAAACAAAGAACCGGGGUAUUUUGCACUCUGGUAAAAGAUAUGAGUUGCAGCAGAAAUACCAAAAAAAAAAUGUGUAGGCCAAUUUAUCAAAUGGAAGAUUGAUAUUCUGGUACUGGGCUUCGUGGUUGUGAAGGCCCAAAUAAAUAUGGUAAAACGAGUGCAUAGCAUAUCUCUACAAUAUCUCUCCAGUCGCGCUUCCGACCGUCCGCAGCCGAGAAAAGUAAUAGAUAAGUGAGAAUUGUAACAUACACUGUAUAAUUAUAUACAUGAAAAGUAAUAUAUAUUGACCCACUUGAAAAUUUUGUAUUCUCGUUACCACACUUUUUUUCUAACUACCCUAUCAUAUUUUUCAUUCUCUUUAUUACCUUCAACUAUUAUAUUAUAGAUUAGUUAAAAAAAAACUAUUAUAUUAUUAUCUAUUUCUCGCGGAUCCCACGCCUUAUUUCUAAUUUUAAAAAUAAAAAGCGAAUCCCUCAUCCCACAUAAAGUCCAUAAUUAAUUGCACACCUAACAUGCGACCCCACACCCCACCUACCUCUUUCCUUCCCACAGCUGUCCAUAUGUUCCUUUUUUCAGAUCUUGCUCUUUUUUUUCCAACAACCUGCUAAUGUUUCUUCCCCUUCAAGCUCCAUUAGCGUUUUUUGAAGGUUCUUUUGACGAAAAUUGGUACGAUUUUUUCAUGAAAUUUUCAUACUAAUAUACUACUUAUGUUCUAUGUGUUAUGAGUAACGAAAAAAAUAAAAACUUAGCUGUAAAAAUCGUGAAAGUUUUCAAAGAAAAAUGAAAAUAAAAUUUGAAGAAGGUUCUCUUUUUUUUAACAAGAUUUUGAUAGGAAAAAAACAAAAAAAUGGUGUUAGACGAUAAUGUGGGUUUUGUAACACGUUAUUUGUUGAUUAAACAGGCUUAAACCGAUGAAAGAUUAAAGUUUUAGGUAUAUUGAUAUGAAAAUGAUGUUUGAGGACUAUUUUGUAUAUUUCUGCUAAUUUUUCACUGUUUUAAAGUAAAAUAAUACAUUACAAUAUUGGUAGACGAUAUUGUGGGUUGUAUAAUACCCUCUUGGUCAGUUAAAAUGGUUAAAUCAACAAAAAUAAAAAUUUAUAGAAACUACUGGAAUUACUAGUACUACUAAGCUAAAACGUGUAUUACUUGUAUUACUAAAUCGAGUAUGUACCAAAGAUCUUGGACGACUUAGAUUCUUUAAACGGUUAACUAAUCCUAAUUUUUGUUUCAGGUAAUCUAUGACAUCUCCUAUUACAAUCAUAUGUUUUGAUUACGGAGGAAGUUACAUCAAAGAUGGGGGUGAGAGAAGAUGGGUCUCGGGAGAAGAUAAAAUUCACACUCUAGUGAUGAAGACAGCUGUGGAAGAGAUUACGUAUUCUGAAUUGGUUGAGAGUAUAUGCAGAAAGAUUAAGGCAAAUGGAGAUGGGAUGGUGAAGAUUAGUUACUUUCCAAUGGUAUUGUAUUCGAACAAGCCAUCAUAUAUUUGGUGUGAUGAAGACGUUUUGGGUUAUCUCAUGCAAGUAAAUCAUGAUAAAUGUAGAAGUGUUUUACAUGUGGAGAUCAGCAGCGACAUGGAUGAUACAUAUGGUGGUAUGUCACUUUCAGGAGAUGAUGAUGAAACUGAUGAUAGUUAUGUUGGUCUUUCUGAUGGAGAUGAUGAUGAAACUGAUGAUGGCUAUGUUGGUCUUUCUGAUGGGACCAAGGAAGAUGGAACUGAGCAAGAUGGAAAUGAUCAGGAUCAUGAGAUGGAUGGCGUGGUUGCGCUUUACACAGCCGAAAAACAAGAAGACAUUGAUAUGCAUGAGAAUUUAGAGCAUGGGUAUGAAGGAACAGAAGUAAGAAUGGAAGAAGAAGCUUCAAGAGCAGGAGUUGAAGCUGCAAGAGCAGGAGUUGAAGCCACGACAGCAGUAGAAGAAAAAUGGGAUGAUGGUCUCGAUUUGGUUAAGGGUCAAGAAUUCAGAACUAUGGUAGCCAUGCAAGUUCUAGUUCAGAGGGGUGCACAUAAGAAUGGUUUUGAGUAUGAAACAUUUAAGUCCGAUACUGUGAGAUUAUGGCAAAAUGUCGAGGAGCCAAAGAAGGUUGCAAGUGGUAUUUGCGUGUAGCAAAGCUUAAGAAUUCAGAUCUUUGGACGAUUAGAACUUACAACAAGUCCCAUACAUGCUCAGUAGUAACUACAAGUACCCUUAGAAAUAGAAGGAGAUGCACACCACAGGUUGUCACAUCUGUUUUGAGUGAAGAAUAUCCCGGUAGAUAUGACACACCAACACCAAAUGAUCUGAUCAGUGUAGUUACCCACAAGGUUGGUGUUGAUGUGUCAUAUGCCACAGCAUGGAGAGGAAAAAGGAUGGCUGCUAAUGAAGUCCGAGGUAAUCCGGAAGAGAGUUUUUCUAUGAUACACUCCUAUAUUUACAUGCUUAAGUUGAAGAAUCCUGACUCAGUAAGCUAUGUUGAAGUGGAUGCGGCGAAAAGAUUUAAGUAUCUAUUUUUCGCAUUUGGAGCUUCCAUCGAAGGGUUCGCAGCGAUGAGGAAAGUUAUCAUUGUGGAUGGAACACAUCUUAAGCAUGUUUAUGGUGGAGUUCUGCUUGUUGCGACGGCUCAAGAUCCUGAUCGUCACCACUACCCUAUCGCAUUUGGUGUAGUUGAUGGUGAGAAAGACGAAAGCUGGAUGUGGUUUAUGAAUAAGUUGAGGUCAGUGAUAGCAGAUGAAGGCGAAUUGGUGUUUCUUUCGGAUAGAAAUGCGAGCUUGAUCAAGUCAAUACGUGAGGUGUUCCCAAUGGCUGCACAUGGGUAUUGUAUCUGGCAUUUGUCUCAAAAUGUCAAAGGACAUGUUUUCAACAAUAGAGACGCUUGCGCAAGCAAGUUUACAGAGUGUGCACAUGCUUAUACAGUGGCUGAGUUCGAUGAUCUCUACGAUGCCUUUUCCAGAAGGUAUCCUUCUGCUGCGGCGUAUCUGGAGAAAAGUGUUGAAGUGAGAAAAUGGGCAAGAUGUUACUUUGAAGGAGACAGAUACAAUGUUAACACAACUAAUGCAGCAGAAUCCAUUAAUGGUGUUCUUCGGGAAGCGAGGAAAUUCUUCAUGCUACCGAUGAUUGAUGUUAUCAUCAAGAAAAUGACUGAAUGGUUUAACAAACAUAGGAAGAAGGCAGCUGAAAUACCAGUCACAAAGAAGCUUGUGCCAACAGUGGAAAAGGAGUUGUCAAAAAGAUGUUUGGAAGCGAGGUGUUUAGAUGUUGUUGAGAUAAACAGCUUCCACCUUGAGUACAAUGUCAAUGGUAGUGACGGAAAGAUUUAUACGGUUGAUUUGGCAAGAAAAAUGUGCACCUGCAUGUGUUUUGAUAUAGACAAAAUCCCAUGUGUUCAUGCUGCUGCUGCUGCCAAGUUCUUGAGCGUAGGAAGAGAUCUUCAUCUACAAGAGUUUUGUUCGAAAUACUAUUUGGUGGAGUUGUGGGCAUUGGCAUAUUGUAGGAUGAUUUAUCAUGUUCCUCAUAUGUCUGAAGGGGUCAUACCUGAUGAGAUUCGAGCACUUAAAGUUCUUCCCCCGGUAUAUGAAAAAAAAAGAAAGGACCCACUCAAAAGCAAAGGUGUCCAUCAGCCGGAGAAUCUCGUGGAUGAAGAAGAGGACGCGGAAGGGGAAGAGGCAGGGGCAGGGGAAGGAGAGGCGGACGUUUGUAUGAGUUUUAAAUGUGGAAGUACUUCUGCCACCACUGAGUAACAUAGAACUCUUGUACUAGGUAACGCUGCACUACUCGGUACUAUCGGAACUACUAUGUGUAAUAUGGACUACUAGGUACUACUAUGGACUACUAUGUGAAAUAUGGACUACUAGGUACUACUAUGAACUACUAUGUGUAAUAUGGACUAUUAGGUACUACUAUGGACUACCUAGGGUUACCUUGAACUACCUUGAAUUACUAUGUAGUAUGCAUGUUUCUAAGAACCUUUGUUUUCGUCUUAUUAUUUAUUUUAGAAAACUUAUCUCAUAUAUUACGAGAUUAUAUGGUCAUAUUUGUGUUUAUUUGCCAAAUUAGACAUAGAAUACUCUUAAAUUCUGAAAUUAGUUGAAAACUUCUCAUUUCUAUAGAAAACAUCAUUCUACUUCUAUACUAAUGUCUUGAUGGGAAAGCCAUAAUGGGAUGAAAUUCAGAAAAUACACAUUUUCUGAAAAACAUUUUCUGCCAAUGUGUUAUAUAUAAUCUAAAAUUGUUUAAAUACAUUUGUAUUACUAAUAAAUUUAAUUUCUUGAGGUUGUAUUACUAAAAAAUGUUCUAAUUUACAAAAAUAUUACUAUGAAGAAUGAAAUAUUACUACUUCCUUAAGUACUACUAAGAGUAAGAUAAAUAUUAAUUUAAUAUUCAAACAUGUUUGUUUAUAUAUUAUAUUUUACACGUUUUAGACAUGUGCCAUUUUUUAUUUUUGCUUAUAUUUUACACGUUUUAGGCAUGUGCCAUUUAAUAUUAUAUAUCAUGUUAUAUUUUUUCUUUUUCUUAAAGUGUUGACAAUGUUUUUGUCUUAUUAAUACAUAAUAAACCUAGUACUACAAAUGUGUUUUCUUAAGACUUAGAUUGUCUUGUCCUCAAUUGGGUCAAACCUGCUGCAAGACAUUCACACAACACAAAGCAUCCUACAUAAGAGAUAGCAUUCAAGUUUUACAGACCAACAAGCAACAAAACAUAACAUCUUACAUAAAUUCACAACAAAGCCGAGAUAAAUACUAAACACCCAAAAUAUUUUAAGCUUCUUGUGUUCUAAGCCUUUGUUCUAGGCUUCUUCUUGCGCCCUUCAAUCUCAUCAAUGUUAGCUUCAUUUUUUCAUUGGUUUCAUUCAUCUCAACCUCAUCUUGAACCUCAACCCGAGCCUCUGUUUCAACCUCUUUUUCUUUGUUUUCUUCAGCUUCUGCUUCCGGUUCAAGUUCUUUCUCUUCCUCAAAACCUCUAUCGUCCUUCUGAGCCUCUUCUUCACUCUCUUCCUCAUCCUCUUUUUCUUUGUCUUCUUCAGCUUCUGCUUCAGGUUCAGGUUCUGUCUCUUCCUCAGAACCUUUUAUCGUCCUUCUGAGCCUCUUUUUCACUCUCUUUCUUUUCUACCACCUCUGUAUUUUCAACCAUAUCUGCAUCUUCAGGUUCUUUGGUUGUUGCGUCCACCCCAUUGCUGUAAUUCUGCUGCCCACCCCAGUCAUAAUCCAUGCCUUGGUAGUCGAAACCCUCAUUGGUCUCGUUAUCCUCCUCAUUCUCUUUCAUUUCCUUCAUUUCUUUCUCAAUGCCAUCAAUCCUCCCGUCCAAUGUCUCCACCUUCUUGGCCUUCUUUUUUAAAUAAUAUUGGCAAUCCUCAAUCUUCUCAAGUUUCUUCUCCAUUGCCUUCAUCCUCUUACACCUCUUUUUUAAAACAACUUGGCAACUUUCAAUCUUCCCAAGCCUCUUGUUCAUUUUCUCCACCUUCCCAUUCACUUCACUCAAACAUGUCAUCAACCUCUCUUCAAACCCCUUCAAAACGUCCUCCAAACUUGUAUUAGAGGAGGAUGCUUCUUCAUGCACUUUCCUUUUGUCUUUCUUCCGAGGAAACUCCCUUGUAGCCACAUCUAACUCAUAGAGUUCUUGUCAAAAGAUAGGCUUCUCCUUAACAGUCAGCCAUGUGCUCCACAAAUUACUCACGCUUCUUCAUUUUCAUAGUCUGGCUCCCCAUCCAUUAUGCGUGCCAUGAGAGGUUCCUCAUCAACAGUAGGAACAAGAACACUAUCAAUAACCUGAAAAUUUAUACCAAAACAAUAUCAAACACAUAGUAUCCCACUCACUUAAUAAAAACAAAACAACACUCAACACAUACCUUAAUUUCUCCAAGUUUGUCGUACAAAUCCUCAAGAGGAUAACCCUUCAUGCUGUUACUUUGGAACCGUUUUUUACACAUCCUCGGAUACUUUCUCAUACAGCCAUCUACACCUUCUCUAAAUCGUGCUUUCAGAGCUGGAAUACACUCAAAUGUCAGGAUCUGAUUGUCAAAACAAAACACUCAGAGCUGAUUCUCGAAAGAAAAAAAUCAUAAGAAGAAGUAGAAUUUACCUCCAAAGGAAUUACGAACCCGGGAAAGUUGACAUUAUUCUUAGGUUUCCCUUUCAGAUGCUUCAUGAGUGAUGGACCGGAGAGCAUCUUCAAACGUCAACCGACCCUAGGGAGAGGUUUUACAAACCUCCACAUCGUUGACGACUCUUAAUAUGAAAGGGUCAAAAGGGACAUUAUACCUUUCCUUCCCUCUGAUAAUCGUGCCUAAGAAGUAAAACACCGCCAUCCUGAGUCGAUCCCCACACGCACUCAUACUCAACAACUUCUCUCUCACAGAUAUCAUCGUGAUCUCCUUAUGUGAUUUGAAAUGCCUGUCUACAUACGCAAAGCUUCCAAUCUUCUUAUACUUAGCCGGGUAGUCAUGGCAGUCCAAUCCCGAGAUGAGAGCAUGCUCUCUCAUUGAAUACCGAAUGGGCACUCCAUUAACAGCAAACCAAGUUGUGUCCUCUGACUCGUGUAAAGGAACAGUGCGCAGUAGAAGCAUCCACAUACCCUGCAGCUUCAAGUUUGGUUCAUCGGGCAUGUGGAAAAAAUGACAAAACUGAGGGUGGUUUUCAAACCACUCCGGCUCAGGCUUAAACCUAGCCUUCUUCAGGAUCUUCACCGUCGCGGUCACAUAGCACUUGCUCUGUAUCUUACACGUUUGGGUGAACUCGGUGUUCUUGAAACAUAGCUCAUCAGGUGGCAGUGGUUGGCACUCCUGUAAACCAAAUAAAAAUUAUAUUAGCAUUUAUUUAUUAGUAGUACUAGUCACACUAGUAAUACACCAAUACCACUUUUUGGGAAUAAUUUACCUGAGAUGAUGCAGACUGAUGAUCAGACUCAUUUCCGCGUGCUGACAGAUCAUCAUUAUCAUUCCCUGUUGAAAGCUCUUCUACAUGCUGCUCUUCUACAGGAGCAUUGUUUCUUUUUGUGGACUUUCUCUGCUGAGAUUUAUUUUUCCUUCGACCUCGGCCUGCCAUUAUCUAUAGCCUCUCAAUAUCUUGAUCCCCUGAAUAUAUACAUACUCAAUAAACGUUCAAUACCCAUCAAAGCUAAUAAAUCCAUUCAAUGAAAUAUCUACAAAAUAAAUCAUUGAUUCUUAUAGUGUCACGAUCUGCCUAAUCUCAAGUCAUUCCUUCAAGUAUUACAUCUUCAAACUUUCAAACAUUCAAUCCCGAAAACAGUGACUCCAAAUCAUUGACAACAAAACAGAUCAUUCAUUUAUUCUUCCAAUUUUAUGAGCUGUCUGAUCUCAAAACCCAAAACCAUUAAUUCAAUAAUAAAACUCCAAACAAUCAAUUCGAUCACUACAUCACAAACAUUCAAUCACUCAACUCGGUUUCACAUAUCAAACAUUCUAUCACCAAUACAGUUAGUCUUCAAUAAUAACUAGACUUAUCUCAAUUCUGAAACCAAACUUUCAAUAUCUAUAACCUCAAAACCAAAUGUGUCCAAGUUUCAGUCUCUGUAAUCCACAUUCUGAAAAAAAUCUGAACCUAACCGAUUUUCAACCACAAUACUUUCAAACCCACAACAAAAUCAAUCAAAAAUUGGAGAUAGAACAUAUCUUUUACACGGAAGAGACGAGAACAAAAACAGGAGAUGAAAGAUGAAGUCUAGGGUUCCGUCGAUUUCGUCGCCGAUGGAAGGAGCGGGAGAAUGGAAUACACCCUAGGAGAGCAGGAGCAGUUGAUUCGAUCAAUUUUUUCGGUUGAUUUCGUCAGCUCUAGGGUUACGGACUGAUUUGAGGAAAUGAUGAAAUCAGAGUAACAAGGAAGGGCACGGAGGACUAAAGGAAGACCAGAGAAGAAGCAGUGAAGGAAGCAGUGAAUGCGGUGGGCUUCAUCGUGUUCGUCGGUUCUAGGGUUUUCUUUCAAUUUUCAGUUUUAGAAGAGAGGGAGAAACGACAAAGGAAGAGAAAAGGGAAAGGAACGCGCAGAUCUGGUUAAGGAUCCGGGUUAUAGUGGGUCAAGUCAAAUAGUUUAGGUUGGAUCCUGUAAAUACUUGGUUUCAGGAAGAGUAAUUUCGAUUUUCAUCACGUUUUUGAUUAAAGUAUAUUAAAAAUUAUAUUGUUUUUAAUUGGUGGGAUAAAAUAGAAUAAGCAUGGAGUUAGUGGGGCAAUACGGAAUAAAGUCCUAUAUACAUACAUACACAACCUGAAUCGUAUCUACGAGAAGUCAUUGGUCUCCGUCACCGUCUUCUCUGUCUGUAUCCCCCUCAGAUCUGAUCAUCCGCCGGAUUCCGAUAUGCCGUCUUCCCGCGCCGUUAAACCUCUAUUCUCAGUUUACACAGCCGUCGGAUGCAUCUUCCUUCUUCUCUCUCCGGCGUUGGCCUCCGAGUCAGAUCACAAGGUUAGAUUUGAAUCUUCUCUUUCGUAACUGUAGCUCGAUUCGAGAGUUAUUUGCUGGCAGAGAUCUCGUUGUUGCAUGUUGUUUGUGCUGGCUCCAAUCUGUUCAAAAACUUGUCGUUUUCACUGCAUUAUGGAUUAUUAGGUUGAUUGAGUGGACAAAAGUCCAGAUGGCACAAAACGCCUUCAUCACUCCUCUUGUUUGUUUUUGUGACUGAUCAAUGUUAGUGGAUGUUGUUUAAUUUGCAGACAUUUAGUAGAGAAGAGUGCUCCUUCGAUUCUUUGCUAUGUCUAGCUUCUUCUGAUUAUGUAGAUAGACCUGGGAGAAAUUAAUUUGAAUUUUGAUUGCCUGAUGAUGAUACUCGAAGAUUAUUAUGGACAGUUUCUUGCUAUGAUCAUGCCUUAACAGUAGCAAUCUUGUAGUCUAAACAGAGAAAAUUAGUAGCAGUCCUCCUCCUACAUAUCCUGAGUGUUGCAAUGACAAAGAUUUGGAGUGCUUUCCCUUUUUUUCUCCCAAAAGAUGAUGUCUUCCUUGUUUUGUAUCUACAUUUUUAUGCCUAGUGUUUUGCCCAACAUACACAAUAUUGCACUACCAGAGCUCCAUUUAUCCCAAGUCCUGAAAUUUGGUCUUCUGCUUUUUUUCUUCCCAGUAUCAAGCUGAUGAGCAGGUUACUCUGUGGGUGAACAAAGUUGGCCCAUAUAAUAAUCCACAAGAAACAUAUAACUAUUAUAGCCUCCCUUUUUGCCGCAAAACUGAAAACACCAUUCACAAAUGGGGUGGUCUUGGCGAGGUCCUUGGUGGAAAUGAGCUCAUCGACAGCCAGAUCGACAUUAAGUUCUUAAGUAUUUUAUUUUAUUAUGCUAGUUUUUCUUUUAAAAAGUGUUAUCUUGAUUGCACAACAGUUAUAUUGCCUUUUUCUGUUUUACUCCCAGAAAAUGUUGACAGAAGCGUGAUCUGUCAAUUGGAACUUGAUGAAGCAAAGGUCAAGCAUUUCAAAGAUGCCAUUGAAAAUAGUUACUGGUUUGAAUUAUUUAUGGGUAUGUAUCACAGUUACUUAUACAAUAUUACUGAUGAAUAAGUAUCAAAGAAAAAAGAGAGCUGAUUAUCUGUUUGUUUUAUUUGAAAUCGGAAGUCUUUAUGACCUACGGAAUUAAGCUUGCUGCACAAUCAACAUUCUUUAAAAUUUUUAAGCAUCCUUCGGUUGCUAAUCUUUUGUCUUGCUUCUUUUUGGCAAAUCAUGUUUAUGGCGUACGUGGAUGCAAGUUCAGAUGAUCUGCCUUUGUGGGGUAUGAUAUUUCUUAUAUUCACAUUGAAUUUUCUAAGUUCAGUUCUCGACAUAAAUUUUGACUAUCUGAUUGAUGUUAUAGGCUUUGUGGGAGAGAUGCCUCCUGGAAAAAAUAGUGAAAACGGCAAGCAUGCUCUUUACACUCAUAAGAGUAUUAAUGUCAAAUACAACAAAGACCAGGUCUGUUGUUUCUUUGCCAUUAAGCAGUAUUAAGGAUCUCAUAUUUACCUUUUAUGUGAUCUGAUUUUUUUUCUUAUUUGCCUAGAUUAUUCAUGUGAAUCUCACACAAGAUAACCUAAGGCCGUUAGAAGCAGGGAGAACGGUGGACAUGACUUAUUCUGUUAAUUGGAUCCCAACCGAGAUCACAUUUGCUCGUCGUUUUGAUGUUUAUCUAGACUAUCCAUUCUUCGAACACCAGGUAAAUCAUAUUUUGUUAUGUUUUUACCGUUUUCAUCUUUCUUCUAUUACACUGAAUGUCAUUUCACCUGCUUGUUGAUCGAACUGCUAAAACCUUGACUCAAGAAAUUUUUUUGGAAGCCUUUUUUUUUUUGUAAACGUUUUUAAUGGAUUCGUUCAUCAUGCAGAUCCAUUGGUUCUCCAUCUUUAACUCGUUCAUGAUGGUUAUCUUCCUUACUGGUUUGGUCUCAAUGAUAUUAAUGAGGACUCUCAGAAAUGAUUAUGCUAAGUAUGCUCGGGAAGACGACGACCUGGAGAGCUUGGUAAUGUCUCAUCAACCCCUUCUUAUCUAGAAUAGCUUAAUAAGUUCUUUUUUAUAUUACUAUUUAUGCUGUCAACUUGUCAAUUUUAUUUUCCUUGUAAGUGCAAGAGUGUGGAGCAACUUCUGACGGUUUGUAUUAUUGAUCACAGGAACGGGAUGUAAAUGAAGAAUCUGGAUGGAAACUUGUGCACGGAGAUGUGUUCCGACCGCCAAGUAGUCUGGUUCUUCUCUCAGCUGUAGUUGGUACAGGUGCACAGUUGGCUUUGCUUGUUCUUCUUGUCAUAUUAAUGGCAAUCAUUGGGACACUUUAUGUUGGGUAUGUAUUUCACUCAACUUCUCAUGUUGUUUCUCAUGGAAUAAAACUUCGGCUUUUGUCUGAAUAUCAUUGUUGCAAUGAAAUCUUCUUAUGCAUUCUGGUUUAACCUUAUUCAGGAGAGGAGCGAUAGUCACAACUUUUAUAGUUUGCUACGCUCUGACGUCAUUUAUCUCUGGUUAUGUGAGCGGUGGAAUGUACUCAAGAAGUGGGGGUAUGCUGUAUCCUUGUCUGUUGAAAGCAAGCAAGCUCUCCAAUAAUUUACCUCCGGUUAGUUGACUCAUUCUCUUAUGGUGGUUUGUUCAGGUAAACACUGGAUCAAGUGCACGAUCCUCACGGCUUCUCUCUUCCCAUUCUUGUGCUUUGGGAUCGGAUUCCUCCUAAACACAAUCGCCAUAUUCUACGGAUCUCUUGCGGCUAUUCCCUUCGGAACAAUGGUGGUUGUCUUCGUAAUUUGGGGUUUCAUUUCGUUCCCUCUUGCCCUCCUCGGGACAGUCGUUGGUAGAAACUGGAGUGGUGCUCCAAACAAUCCAUGCCGUGUGAAGACAAUCCCACGUCCAAUCCCUGAGAAAAAGUGGUACUUGACUCCAACAGUAGUCUCUCUUAUGGGAGGUCUCUUACCCUUUGGCAGCAUCUUCAUUGAAAUGUACUUCGUCUUCACAUCCUUCUGGAAUUACAAGGUAAAAAUCUCUUACAACUUAAGAAAUAUCAACACUUGCUCUACAUUUCUUGAUGGGCUUUUUGUUGUUGUUGUUGUCUCAUGACAGGUAUACUAUGUGUACGGGUUCAUGCUGCUUGUCUUUUUGAUUCUUGUUGUGGUGACAGUCUGUGUGACAAUCGUGGGAACAUACUUCUUGCUGAACGCCGAAAACUAUCACUGGCAAUGGACAUCGUUCUUCUCAGCUGCUUCCACCGCAAUUUACGUCUACUUAUACUCGAUCUAUUACUACUACGUAAAGACAAAGAUGUUUGGGUUUUUCCAGACCAGCUUCUACUUCGGAUACACCUUGAUGUUCUGUCUUGGCCUCGGAAUCCUUUGCGGUUAGUUUUUUCUUUCAUUCUCUACUCUCAAUUCAAAUCUGGUCGAUGUGCACUGGUUUUGGUUUGAAGAUUGUUUGGUGAUUGGGAAACAAUUUGCAGGAGCGGUUGGGUUCUUAGGAUCAAAUCUGUUUGUUAGAAGGAUCUAUAGAAACAUCAAGUGCGACUAGAGACAUAAGGAACGAAGAAAGAAAAAAAAAUGGGGUAAAGAUGGAUCGUGGAAUGUUAUUGGUGGCAGUUAAGUCUGUUAGAAAGAAUUCUUACAGGUUUAGAUUAUUAUACUCGAGGGAAAGUGGGAAUCAAUGGAGGAGGAAGAGGUUGUAUGGUAAUUGAAAAUAUUACAUUUUUAUUUGGCUUUUUAUUUUUAUUUUUUUGCUUAUUGAAUCUGCUCUAUUUUAUUUAGGAUUCAGAAAUACUUUUUGGUUCCAUCGUCUCUGUAAAGAGGUAGACAGAAAACUAAAUUUCUAAAUUUAUUUAAAAAUUAAAACCCCAAGAAUUAAACACAACGUAGUUUUUUCUGCUGGUUUGUCUAUGCGGAUAUCUUCUUUUUCUUGGGCAUUAAGUUUUAUAAACUCAAAAAUUAACCAUUAAAUCCCAAAUUUGCUUAAAGCCUGAAUAAAAUGUCAGUCACACAAAAAAUAUUAAUAAUUAAUAAAGCAUAUGAAGAGUUAUUCCUUUUAGACACAAACAUGUCAGACAUAGUUAGUGAGCUGUCCCAAAGUGAGACCACGUAUAACUCACCACAACAAGAUAGGUGAGAGCGCAAAGUGUGUCGAACACAAUCACUCACACAAAAAGGAAACAAAUCACUAUUCUCCAAAUAAAAGACGAUAAUCCAACGAUCCACACGAUAAACGCCACGUGGAAGAUAGAUCCACAGCAAUCCCACCUUUUAAUCUUCUCGCCUCUCCUUUGCAGUCUCCACGCCAUUUCCACAAGCCACAACACAAAUCCUCUCAAGCACACAAAAAUGGCCUCAACAGCUCUCUCAAGCGCCAUCGUCGGAACAUCCUUCCUCCGCCGCCAAACAACUCCCAUCAGCCUCCGUUCCCUCCCCUCAGCCAACACUCAAUCCCUCUUCGGUCUCAAAUCAGGCACCGCACGCGGCGGACGCGUCACCGCCAUGGCUACAUACAAGGUCAAGUUCAUCACUCCAGAAGGUGAGCAAGAGGUUGAGUGCGACGACGACGUCUACGUCCUCGACGCUGCGGAGGAAGCCGGGAUCGACUUGCCUUACUCUUGCCGUGCUGGUUCGUGCUCAAGCUGUGCCGGCAAAGUUGUGUCUGGAUUUGUUGACCAGUCUGACCAGAGUUUCCUCGAUGAUGACCAGAUUGCUGCAGGGUUUGUUCUCACUUGUGCGGCUUAUCCUACCUCUGAUGUUACCAUUGAGACCCACAGAGAAGAUGACAUUGUUUAAAACAAAAGCUCCAUAACAUGCUUUUGAUGGUUUCAUAAUCAUUGUCUUUACAUUUUGGGUUGAGUUUGUUGCUACUUAGUAAAAUCUAUUGUUGUCUGUUGUAAUUUUUCUUGCUUUGGACCACCUUUUGGUAAGAUCAAUGGAUAACAGUGUAAACUAUGAUCAUGCAAAUUCUGGAAAACUUUUGAUGAGAAUCAAACAUUAUCUUUAAACAUUUGAAAAUACAGUUUCUUUGAAGACUGUCUUUUGUGGUGCACCUUUGAUGAAGUUUUAACCUUAUCUUUAUUUUAUUUAGUUACUGGUUAAAAGAAAAAUAUAUUAUUUUUAACACCUUAUUUGUAAAUUAUUACUAUAAGACAACUAUCUAGAGUAGUUGUCAAUUUAUCUUUCACAUAGAACACAGUUAUCUUAUUGAAGUAGUCUUUCAGUGUAGUGAUUAAUCUACUAUUUUAAAAUAGAGUCAAUAGUGUAGUAAUUAAUCUUCUUUAUUAAAUAGAGUCAUUUUAAAAAUCUACUGUACAAAGUUAUUAUAGUUGGAUUAAUUGGUAACAAAUAAAACUAAAUAUAUAUCUAGAUAUAUAUUUGAUAUUUUUCUUAUCUAGCUCAUUGUUUAUUGUUCUGAGUUUGUGGUUUCACUAUAAGAAAACACUGGCUUUACAACGAAGUUUUACGACGAACAUAAUUCCUCGUAAAUUUACAAGUAGAUUACGUCGACGUUACGACGAAAAGCAGUUUCGUCGUAAAGCGGAUGUAAUAUUACAACGAAACUGUUUCGUCGUAAAGUCGUUGUAAAGUUACAACGCUUUUACGUGGAAAAUUAAAUUCCACGUAAACGCUUUGUAAUGUAACAAGGACUUUACGACGAAUCAUGUUUCCUUAUCUUUCCUCGUAAAGACGUUGUAAUGUUACAAGGACUUUACGAGGAAUCCUAUUUCCUUACAUUUCCUCGUAAUGGCGUUGUAAUUUAACAAGUAUUUUACAACGAAUCGGGUUACCGUUAUACUUGGUCGAAACGUGUAUUAAGUGUGCUUUAUACCUAACUAAAUUCCUUGUAAAGUGGAUGUAAAAUCCUUGUAAAAAAGUUGUAAAUCCGUAGUAAUACAUUGCGUUGUAAAAUACUUGUUAAACCUUUACCUACCAAACUCGAAAAUCUUCUAUAUAUAUGUCAUUUCUCAAUGCUAAAAACACACCAACAAAUCUAAGAAAAAAGAAAAACUGAAAAACACAACUAAAAAAAAUGGCUGAUGGAUGCAAUAUCUACGAGAUACGGAGUUGGACGAUUAGUGACUUUCCUGCUUAUGGGAUAUUGUCUGGGUGGACAACUCAUGGAAGAUUAUCUUGUCCAAUUUGUCGUGGAUCGACAGAUGCUUUUCAACUGAAGAAUGGUAGAAAGAGUUGUUGGUUUGAUUGUCAUCGUCGAUUUCUUCCCAUCUCCCAUCCGUACCGAAGAAAUAAGACAUUGUUUAGAUACAAAAAAGUUGUCAGAGAUAGUCCUCCUCCAUAUCUCACCGGACAACAGAUCCUAGCAGAAAUUGAUUAUUAUGGAGCUCUGGAAACGGUGCCGCGUGGAGGAAACCGGACAACAGUUGUCAGAGAUAGUCCUCCUCCAUAUCUCAACACCAAUUGGUGUUGUGGAUGUCAACUCUGGGAGAAGAUACAACAAAUUCGAGCCUUUCAUCCUAGCUUCCCAGGCUGAACAAGUUAGCUUUCUUCCAUACCCUCGCCUUCGAAGUUCUGGGAUUAAUUGGUUGGCUACUAUCAAAAUUACACCUCGUGGACGAAUUGUUGCUGGAGAAGAACCACCAUUGCAAGAAGAAGAUGCUAUUAAUGAAGUUGAGGUUCCUGAUCAACAACUUGAUGAAAAUCUUCUGAUCGACCCAAAUAACCAUCAAUAUGAAGAUCUUCCCGAAGAUGCGACAGAUGAAGCACGUGAAGACGAGUUCGAUUGUAGUGACGACGAUGACUGUUCAGAUGUUGAUGAGAACUCAAAACGAUUCAGAAUGAUGUAAUAUAUGUAACAAAUGUUGUUUUUAUCUUUACAAAAUAUUGUACCCAAUGUUGUUUUUUAUUGCUUAAGUGAGAUACUUAAUGUAUGUGUACUAUAAGUUGUCUUGUAUAAUAUCUAUUUCUUAAGGUAAAAAAUUUUAUUUUGUUGAAGUUAAGGGUUUUAGUUGGAUAAAGAGGAUGAAAGUAUUAAUGAGUGAUAAUGGUAAAGAUGAUAACUUUGGGGUUUAGGGAUUUGAUUUUCGGGGUUUCAUACUUUCCUCGUAAAUUCAUUGUAAAUAAAAACACGGGCCUGGUAACUUCGUCGUAACAUAAAAUAUUAUUUCCAUGUAAAUUCGUCGUAACAUAAAAUACUAUUUCCUAGUAACUUCGUCGUAAAUGAAAAAACACGGGUCUGGUAACUUUGUCGUAAAUGAAAAAACACGGGCCUGGUAACUUCGUCGUAAACCAAAACACGGGCCUGGUAACUUCGUCNNNNNNNNNNNNNNNNNNNNNNNNNNNNNNNNNNNNNNNNNNNNNNNNNNNNNNNNNNNNNNNNNNNNNNNNNNNNNNNNNNNNNNNNNNNNNNNNNNNNNNNNNNNNNNNNNNNNNNNNNNNNNNNNNNNNNNNNNNNNNNNNNNNNNNNNNNNNNNNNNNNNNNNNNNNNNNNNNNNNNNNNNNNNNNNNNNNNNNNNNNNNNNNNNNNNNNNNNNNNNNNNNNNNNNNNNNNNNNNNNNNNNNNNNNNNNNNNNNNNNNNNNNNNNNNNNNNNNNNNNNNNNNNNNNNNNNNNNNNNNNNNNNNNNNNNNNNNNNNNNNNNNNNNNNNNNNNNNNNNNNNNNNNNNNNNNNNNNNNNNNNNNNNNNNNNNNNNNNNNNNNNNNNNNNNNNNNNNNNNNNNNNNNNNNNNNNNNNNNNNNNNNNNNNNNNNNNNNNNNNNNNNNNNNNNNNNNNNNNNNNNNNNNNNNNNNNNNNNNNNNNNNNNNNNNNNNNNNNNNNNNNNNNNNNNNNNNNNNNNNNNNNNNNNNNNNNNNNNNNNNNNNNNNNNNNNNNNNNNNNNNNNNNNNNNNNNNNNNNNNNNNNNNNNNNNNNNNNNNNNNNNNNNNNNNNNNNNNNNNNNNNNNNNNNNNNNNNNNNNNNNNNNNNNNNNNNNNNNNNNNNNNNNNNNNNNNNNNNNNNNNNNNNNNNNNNNNNNNNNNNNNNNNNNNNNNNNNNNNNNNNNNNNNNNNNNNNNNNNNNNNNNNNNNNNNNNNNNNNNNNNNNNNNNNNNNNNNNNNNNNNNNNNNNNNNNNNNNNNNNNNNNNNNNNNNNNNNNNNNNNNNNNNNNNNNNNNNNNNNNNNNNNNNNNNNNNNNNNNNNNNNNNNNNNNNNNNNNNNNNNNNNNNNNNNNNNNNNNNNNNNNNNNNNNNNNNNNNNNNNNNNNNNNNNNNNNNNNNNNNNNNNNNNNNNNNNNNNNNNNNNNNNNNNNNNNNNNNNNNNNNNNNNNNNNNNNNNNNNNNNNNNNNNNNNNNNNNNNNNNNNNNNNNNNNNNNNNNNNNNNNNNNNNNNNNNNNNNNNNNNNNNNNNNNNNNNNNNNNNNNNNNNNNNNNNNNNNNNNNNNNNNNNNNNNNNNNNNNNNNNNNNNNNNNNNNNNNNNNNNNNNNNNNNNNNNNNNNNNNNNNNNNNNNNNNNNNNNNNNNNNNNNNNNNNNNNNNNNNNNNNNNNNNNNNNNNNNNNNNNNNNNNNNNNNNNNNNNNNNNNNNNNNNNNNNNNNNNNNNNNNNNNNNNNNNNNNNNNNNNNNNNNNNNNNNNNNNNNNNNNNNNNNNNNNNNNNNNNNNNNNNNNNNNNNNNNNNNNNNNNNNNNNNNNNNNNNNNNNNNNNNNNNNNNNNNNNNNNNNNNNNNNNNNNNNNNNNNNNNNNNNNNNNNNNNNNNNNNNNNNNNNNNNNNNNNNNNNNNNNNNNNNNNNNNNNNNNNNNNNNNNNNNNNNNNNNNNNNNNNNNNNNNNNNNNNNNNNNNNNNNNNNNNNNNNNNNNNNNNNNNNNNNNNNNNNNNNNNNNNNNNNNNNNNNNNNNNNNNNNNNNNNNNNNNNNNNNNNNNNNNNNNNNNNNNNNNNNNNNNNNNNNNNNNNNNNNNNNNNNNNNNNNNNNNNNNNNNNNNNNNNNNNNNNNNNNNNNNNNNNNNNNNNNNNNNNNNNNNNNNNNNNNNNNNNNNNNNNNNNNNNNNNNNNNNNNNNNNNNNNNNNNNNNNNNNNNNNNNNNNNNNNNNNNNNNNNNNNNNNNNNNNNNNNNNNNNNNNNNNNNNNNNNNNNNNNNNNNNNNNNNNNNNNNNNNNNNNNNNNNNNNNNNNNNNNNNNNNNNNNNNNNNNNNNNNNNNNNNNNNNNNNNNNNNNNNNNNNNNNNNNNNNNNNNNNNNNNNNNNNNNNNNNNNNNNNNNNNNNNNNNNNNNNNNNNNNNNNNNNNNNNNNNNNNNNNNNNNNNNNNNNNNNNNNNNNNNNNNNNNNNNNNNNNNNNNNNNNNNNNNNNNNNNNNNNNNNNNNNNNNNNNNNNNNNNNNNNNNNNNNNNNNNNNNNNNNNNNNNNNNNNNNNNNNNNNNNNNNNNNNNNNNNNNNNNNNNNNNNNNNNNNNNNNNNNNNNNNNNNNNNNNNNNNNNNNNNNNNNNNNNNNNNNNNNNNNNNNNNNNNNNNNNNNNNNNNNNNNNNNNNNNNNNNNNNNNNNNNNNNNNNNNNNNNNNNNNNNNNNNNNNNNNNNNNNNNNNNNNNNNNNNNNNNNNNNNNNNNNNNNNNNNNNNNNNNNNNNNNNNNNNNNNNNNNNNNNNNNNNNNNNNNNNNNNNNNNNNNNNNNNNNNNNNNNNNNNNNNNNNNNNNNNNNNNNNNNNNNNNNNNNNNNNNNNNNNNNNNNNNNNNNNNNNNNNNNNNNNNNNNNNNNNNNNNNNNNNNNNNNNNNNNNNNNNNNNNNNNNNNNNNNNNNNNNNNNNNNNNNNNNNNNNNNNNNNNNNNNNNNNNNNNNNNNNNNNNNNNNNNNNNNNNNNNNNNNNNNNNNNNNNNNNNNNNNNNNNNNNNNNNNNNNAAAAAUCAUAAGGAUAAAUCAAAUUUACCUCCAAAGGAAUUAUGAACCCGGGAAAGUUGACAUUAUUCUUAGGUUUCCCUUUCAGAUGCUUCAUCACGUGAGUGAUGGACCGGAGAGCAUCUUCAAACGUCAACCGACCCCAAGGAAAGGUUUUACAAACCUCCACAUAGUUGACGAUUCUCAAUACGAAAGGGUCGAACGGGGCAUUAUUCCUUCCCCUCGCUCUGAUAAUCGUGCCUAAGAAGUAAAGCACUGCCAUUUUGAGUCGAUCCCCACACGCACUCAUACUCAACAACUUCUCUCUCACAGAUAGCAUAGUGAUCUCCUUAUGUGAUUUGAAAUGCCUGUCUACAAACGCAAAGCUUCCAAUCUUCUUAUACUUAGCCGGGUAGUCAUGGCAGUCCAAUCCCGAGAUGAGAGCAUGCUCUCUCAUUGAAUACCGAAUGGGCACUCCAUUAACAGCAAACCAAGCUGUGUCCUCUGACUCGUGUAAAGGAACAAUGCGCAGUAGAAGCAUCCACAUACCAUGCAGCUUCAAGUUUGGUUCAUCGGGCAUGUGGAAAAAAUGGCAAAAAUGAGGGUGGUUUUCAAACCACUCCAGCUCAGGCUUAAACCUAGCCUUCUUCAGGAUCUUCACCGUCGCGGUCACAUAGCACUUGCUCUGUAUCUUACACGUCUGGGUGAACUCGGUGUUCUUGAAACAUAGCUCAUCAGGUGGCAGUGGUUGGCACUCUUGUAAACCAAAUAAAAAUUAUAUUAGCGUUUAUUUAUUAGUUGUACUAGUCACACUAGUAAUACACCAAUACCAAUUUUUUGGGAAUAAUUUACCUGAGAUGAUGCAGACUAAUGAUCAGACUCCUUUCCGCGUGCUGACAGAUCAUCACUAUCAUUCCCUGUUGAAAGCUCUUCUACAUGCUGCUCUUCUACAGGAGCAUUGUUUCUUUUUGUGGACUUUCUCUGCUGAGAUUUUUUUUUCCCUCGACCUCGGCCUGCCAUUAUCUAUAGCCUCUCAAUAUCUUGAUCCCCUGAAUAUAUACAUACACAAUAAACGUUCAAUAACCACCAAAGCUAACAAAUCCAUUCAAUGAAAUAUCUACAAAAUAAAUCAUUGAUUCUUAUAGUAUCACGAUCUGCCUAAUCUCAAGUCAUUCCUUCAAGUAUUACAUCUUCAAACUUUCAAACAUUCAAUCCCGAAAACAGUGACUCCAAAUCAUUGACAACAAAACAGAUCAUUCAUUUAUUCUUCCAAUUUUAUGAGCUGUCUGAUCUCAAAACCCAAAACCAUUAAUUCAAUAAUAAAACUCCAAACAAUCAAUUCGAUCACUACAUCACAAACAUUCAAUCACUCAACUCGGUUUCACAUAUCAAACAUUCUAUCACCAAUACAGUUAGUCUUCAAUAAUAACUAGACUUAUCUCAAUUCUGAAACCAAACUUUCAAUAUCUAUAACCUCAAAACCAAAUGUGUCCAAGUUUCAGUCUCUGUAAUCCACAUUCUGAAAAAAAUCUGAACCUAACCGAUUUUCAACCACAAUACUUUCAAACCCACAACAAAAUCAAUCAAAAAUUGGAGAUAGAACAUAUCUUUUACACGGAAGAGACGAGAACAAAAACAGGAGAUGAAAGAUGAAGUCUAGGGUUCCGUCGAUUUCGUCGCCGAUGGAAGGAGCGGGAGAAUGGAAUACACCCUAGGAGAGCAGGAGCAGUUGAUUCGAUCAAUUUUUUCGGUUGAUUUCGUCAGCUCUAGGGUUACGGACUGAUUUGAGGAAAUGAUGAAAUCAGAGUAACAAGGAAGGGCACGGAGGACUAAAGGAAGACCAGAGAAGAAGCAGUGAAGGAAGCAGUGAAUGCGGUGGGCUUCAUCGUGUUCGUCGGUUCUAGGGUUUUCUUUCAAUUUUCAGUUUUAGAAGAGAGGGAGAAACGACAAAGGAAGAGAAAAGGGAAAGGAACGCGCAGAUCUGGUUAAGGAUCCGGGUUAUAGUGGGUCAAGUCAAAUAGUUUAGGUUGGAUCCUGUAAAUACUUGGUUUCAGGAAGAGUAAUUUCGAUUUUCAUCACGUUUUUGAUUAAAGUAUAUUAAAAAUUAUAUUGUUUUUAAUUGGUGGGAUAAAAUAGAAUAAGCAUGGAGUUAGUGGGGCAAUACGGAAUAAAGUCCUAUAUACAUACAUACACAACCUGAAUCGUAUCUACGAGAAGUCAUUGGUCUCCGUCACCGUCUUCUCUGUCUGUAUCCCCCUCAGAUCUGAUCAUCCGCCGGAUUCCGAUAUGCCGUCUUCCCGCGCCGUUAAACCUCUAUUCUCAGUUUACACAGCCGUCGGAUGCAUCUUCCUUCUUCUCUCUCCGGCGUUGGCCUCCGAGUCAGAUCACAAGGUUAGAUUUGAAUCUUCUCUUUCGUAACUGUAGCUCGAUUCGAGAGUUAUUUGCUGGCAGAGAUCUCGUUGUUGCAUGUUGUUUGUGCUGGCUCCAAUCUGUUCAAAAACUUGUCGUUUUCACUGCAUUAUGGAUUAUUAGGUUGAUUGAGUGGACAAAAGUCCAGAUGGCACAAAACGCCUUCAUCACUCCUCUUGUUUGUUUUUGUGACUGAUCAAUGUUAGUGGAUGUUGUUUAAUUUGCAGACAUUUAGUAGAGAAGAGUGCUCCUUCGAUUCUUUGCUAUGUCUAGCUUCUUCUGAUUAUGUAGAUAGACCUGGGAGAAAUUAAUUUGAAUUUUGAUUGCCUGAUGAUGAUACUCGAAGAUUAUUAUGGACAGUUUCUUGCUAUGAUCAUGCCUUAACAGUAGCAAUCUUGUAGUCUAAACAGAGAAAAUUAGUAGCAGUCCUCCUCCUACAUAUCCUGAGUGUUGCAAUGACAAAGAUUUGGAGUGCUUUCCCUUUUUUUCUCCCAAAAGAUGAUGUCUUCCUUGUUUUGUAUCUACAUUUUUAUGCCUAGUGUUUUGCCCAACAUACACAAUAUUGCACUACCAGAGCUCCAUUUAUCCCAAGUCCUGAAAUUUGGUCUUCUGCUUUUUUUCUUCCCAGUAUCAAGCUGAUGAGCAGGUUACUCUGUGGGUGAACAAAGUUGGCCCAUAUAAUAAUCCACAAGAAACAUAUAACUAUUAUAGCCUCCCUUUUUGCCGCAAAACUGAAAACACCAUUCACAAAUGGGGUGGUCUUGGCGAGGUCCUUGGUGGAAAUGAGCUCAUCGACAGCCAGAUCGACAUUAAGUUCUUAAGUAUUUUAUUUUAUUAUGCUAGUUUUUCUUUUAAAAAGUGUUAUCUUGAUUGCACAACAGUUAUAUUGCCUUUUUCUGUUUUACUCCCAGAAAAUGUUGACAGAAGCGUGAUCUGUCAAUUGGAACUUGAUGAAGCAAAGGUCAAGCAUUUCAAAGAUGCCAUUGAAAAUAGUUACUGGUUUGAAUUAUUUAUGGGUAUGUAUCACAGUUACUUAUACAAUAUUACUGAUGAAUAAGUAUCAAAGAAAAAAGAGAGCUGAUUAUCUGUUUGUUUUAUUUGAAAUCGGAAGUCUUUAUGACCUACGGAAUUAAGCUUGCUGCACAAUCAACAUUCUUUAAAAUUUUUAAGCAUCCUUCGGUUGCUAAUCUUUUGUCUUGCUUCUUUUUGGCAAAUCAUGUUUAUGGCGUACGUGGAUGCAAGUUCAGAUGAUCUGCCUUUGUGGGGUAUGAUAUUUCUUAUAUUCACAUUGAAUUUUCUAAGUUCAGUUCUCGACAUAAAUUUUGACUAUCUGAUUGAUGUUAUAGGCUUUGUGGGAGAGAUGCCUCCUGGAAAAAAUAGUGAAAACGGCAAGCAUGCUCUUUACACUCAUAAGAGUAUUAAUGUCAAAUACAACAAAGACCAGGUCUGUUGUUUCUUUGCCAUUAAGCAGUAUUAAGGAUCUCAUAUUUACCUUUUAUGUGAUCUGAUUUUUUUUCUUAUUUGCCUAGAUUAUUCAUGUGAAUCUCACACAAGAUAACCUAAGGCCGUUAGAAGCAGGGAGAACGGUGGACAUGACUUAUUCUGUUAAUUGGAUCCCAACCGAGAUCACAUUUGCUCGUCGUUUUGAUGUUUAUCUAGACUAUCCAUUCUUCGAACACCAGGUAAAUCAUAUUUUGUUAUGUUUUUACCGUUUUCAUCUUUCUUCUAUUACACUGAAUGUCAUUUCACCUGCUUGUUGAUCGAACUGCUAAAACCUUGACUCAAGAAAUUUUUUUGGAAGCCUUUUUUUUUUUGUAAACGUUUUUAAUGGAUUCGUUCAUCAUGCAGAUCCAUUGGUUCUCCAUCUUUAACUCGUUCAUGAUGGUUAUCUUCCUUACUGGUUUGGUCUCAAUGAUAUUAAUGAGGACUCUCAGAAAUGAUUAUGCUAAGUAUGCUCGGGAAGACGACGACCUGGAGAGCUUGGUAAUGUCUCAUCAACCCCUUCUUAUCUAGAAUAGCUUAAUAAGUUCUUUUUUAUAUUACUAUUUAUGCUGUCAACUUGUCAAUUUUAUUUUCCUUGUAAGUGCAAGAGUGUGGAGCAACUUCUGACGGUUUGUAUUAUUGAUCACAGGAACGGGAUGUAAAUGAAGAAUCUGGAUGGAAACUUGUGCACGGAGAUGUGUUCCGACCGCCAAGUAGUCUGGUUCUUCUCUCAGCUGUAGUUGGUACAGGUGCACAGUUGGCUUUGCUUGUUCUUCUUGUCAUAUUAAUGGCAAUCAUUGGGACACUUUAUGUUGGGUAUGUAUUUCACUCAACUUCUCAUGUUGUUUCUCAUGGAAUAAAACUUCGGCUUUUGUCUGAAUAUCAUUGUUGCAAUGAAAUCUUCUUAUGCAUUCUGGUUUAACCUUAUUCAGGAGAGGAGCGAUAGUCACAACUUUUAUAGUUUGCUACGCUCUGACGUCAUUUAUCUCUGGUUAUGUGAGCGGUGGAAUGUACUCAAGAAGUGGGGGUAUGCUGUAUCCUUGUCUGUUGAAAGCAAGCAAGCUCUCCAAUAAUUUACCUCCGGUUAGUUGACUCAUUCUCUUAUGGUGGUUUGUUCAGGUAAACACUGGAUCAAGUGCACGAUCCUCACGGCUUCUCUCUUCCCAUUCUUGUGCUUUGGGAUCGGAUUCCUCCUAAACACAAUCGCCAUAUUCUACGGAUCUCUUGCGGCUAUUCCCUUCGGAACAAUGGUGGUUGUCUUCGUAAUUUGGGGUUUCAUUUCGUUCCCUCUUGCCCUCCUCGGGACAGUCGUUGGUAGAAACUGGAGUGGUGCCCCAAACAAUCCAUGCCGUGUGAAGACAAUCCCACGUCCAAUCCCUGAGAAAAAGUGGUACUUGACUCCAUCAGUAGUCUCUCUUAUGGGAGGUCUCUUACCCUUUGGCAGCAUCUUCAUCGAAAUGUACUUCGUCUUCACAUCCUUCUGGAAUUACAAGGUAAAAAUCUCUUACAACUUAAGAAAUAUCAACACUUGCUCUACAUUUCUUGAUGGGCUUUUUGUUGUUGUUGUUGUCUCAUGACAGGUAUACUAUGUGUACGGGUUCAUGCUGCUUGUCUUUUUGAUUCUUGUUGUGGUGACAGUCUGUGUGACAAUCGUGGGAACAUACUUCUUGCUGAACGCCGAAAACUAUCACUGGCAAUGGACAUCGUUCUUCUCAGCUGCUUCCACCGCAAUUUACGUCUACUUAUACUCGAUCUAUUACUACUACGUAAAGACAAAGAUGUUUGGGUUUUUCCAGACCAGCUUCUACUUCGGAUACACCUUGAUGUUCUGUCUUGGCCUCGGAAUCCUUUGCGGUUAGUUUUUUCUUUCAUUCUCUACUCUCAAUUCAAAUCUGGUCGAUGUGCACUGGUUUUGGUUUGAAGAUUGUUUGGUGAUUGGGAAACAAUUUGCAGGAGCGGUUGGGUUCUUAGGAUCAAAUCUGUUUGUUAGAAGGAUCUAUAGAAACAUCAAGUGCGACUAGAGACAUAAGGAACGAAGAAAGAAAAAAAAAUGGGGUAAAGAUGGAUCGUGGAAUGUUAUUGGUGGCAGUUAAGUCUGUUAGAAAGAAUUCUUACAGGUUUAGAUUAUUAUACUCGAGGGAAAGUGGGAAUCAAUGGAGGAGGAAGAGGUUGUAUGGUAAUUGAAAAUAUUACAUUUUUAUUUGGCUUUUUAUUUUUAUUUUUUUGCUUAUUGAAUCUGCUCUAUUUUAUUUAGGAUUCAGAAAUACUUUUUGGUUCCAUCGUCUCUGUAAAGAGGUAGACAGAAAACUAAAUUUCUAAAUUUAUUUAAAAAUUAAAACCCCAAGAAUUAAACGCAACGUAGUUUUUUCUGCUGGUUUGUCUAUGCGGAUAUCUUCUUUUUCUUGGGCAUUAUUUUUUCUUUUAAAGUUUUAUAGACUCAAAAAUUAACCAUUAAAUCCCAAAUUUUCUUAAAGCCUGAAUAAAAUAUCAGUCACACACAAAAUAUUACUCCCUCUGUUCCUUAUAGAUCCAUUUUUUAGAAAAAAAAUUUGUUUUAAAAAAAUACAUUUUUUACAUUUUCAAGACAUUAAUUAAUGAAAAAUUGUAUUUUUCAAAAAAUACAAUUGUGUUUAAUAAAAUUUCAUUGGUUAAAAGUUAUUGAAAAUAGCUAAUUAAGGAAAAUAAUGUAUUGGAAAAUACAAUUUUAAAUGUUUUCUUAAUAAAUAUGAAAAAACUAUAACAUGUAUCUUUUAGGAACGGAGGGAGUAAUAAUUAAUAAAGCAUAUGAAGAGUUAUUCCUUUAAGACACAAACAUGUCAGACAUAGUUAGUGAGCUGUCCCAAAGUGAGACCACGUAUAACUCACCUCAACAGAUAGGUGUGUCGAACACAAUCACUCACACAAAAAGGAAACAAAUCACUAUUCUCCAAAUAAAAGACGAUAAUCCAACGAUCCACACGAUAAACGCCACGUGGAAGAUAGAAUUCCACAGCAAUCCCACCUUUUAAUCUUCUCGUCUCUCCUUCACACUCUCCACGCCAUUUCCACAAGCCAAGAGAAACCAAACUCAAAUCCUCUCAAACACACAAUAAAAUGGCCUCAACCGCUCUCUCAAGCGCCAUCGUCGGAACAUCCUUCCUCCGCCGUCAGACAGCUCCUAUCAGCCUCCGUUCCCUCCCCUCAGCCAACACUCAAUCCCUCUUCGGUCUCAAAUCAGGCACCGCACGCGGCGGACGCGUCACCGCCAUGGCUACAUACAAGGUCAAGUUCAUCACUCCAGAAGGUGAGCAAGAGGUUGAGUGCGACGACGACGUCUACGUCCUCGACGCUGCGGAGGAAGCCGGGAUCGACUUGCCUUACUCUUGCCGUGCUGGUUCGUGCUCAAGCUGUGCCGGCAAAGUUGUGUCUGGAUCUGUUGACCAGUCUGACCAGAGUUUCCUCGAUGAUGACCAGAUUGCUGAAGGGUUUGUUCUCACUUGUGCGGCUUAUCCUACCUCUGAUGUUACCAUUGAGACCCACAGAGAAGAUGACAUUGUUUAAAACAAAAGCUCGAUAACAUGCUUUUGAUGGUUUCAUAAUCAUUGUCUUUACAUUUUGGGUUGAGUUUGUUGCUACUUAGUAAAAUCUAUUGUUGUCUGUUGUAAUUUUUCUGGUUUUGGCCCACCUUUUGGUAAGAUCAAUGGAUAACAGUGUAAACUAUGAUCAUGCAAAUUCUGGCAAACUUUUUUUUUUUUUUUUGGCAUCGAUUCUGGCAAACUUUCGAUGGGAAUCCAAACAUUAUCUUUAAACAUUUGAAAAUAUAGUUUCUUUGAAGACUGUCUUUUGUGGUGCACCUUUGAUUAAAUUUUAACAUUAUCUUUACUUGGAAACAAAUCCGC
rnacentral:lncRNA from 1 species